rnacentral:lncRNA from 1 species
GUCCGUUAGGCUUUUCUUUUUUCGCUGCUGAGGAAUCUCGACGUGGAUUGUAGAUGCCAGACUGAUGGGUUCUUGGUCAGUAGGGGGCCUUCUUUAGGUUGAGUUUGAUGUCUAGAUAUGGGGCGGCGGGUGGAGAAUUUGAUGAUUGAUGAGGAAGUCUGAAUAACUUAUUCGAGGGAUGUGUACCUGGUGGUGCAGUCGAGUUGAAGCGGAGGGAUGAUUAUGCUGUCGGGAUCGUGCUUGUUGAUUGAGACGCCGUAAUUUUCAUCGUGUUUGCUUCGUAUAUUUGAUAUUGGAGACAUGAUUCUGUAAUAGAAUGAAUCGCGUCGAAUUGUUUCUUCUAGUCUAGCGCUUCAUGUUCUUCAAUGUCGGUUCUGGGUUGAAUUAGUUUGUUGAUACAAAACGGAGCUGCGUUUCUCUUGGCAGUAUAAGGUUUUGAUGCGACCGUCGUUGGAACUCACAGGGCCAGUUCGUGGCAACAGAUUGCCUGCUUCCCCUUGUUCGAUAAUUUCUAGUUUACCGUAUUCUUCUGAAGCAAGUGCUGAAAUGGAGGAACCCACAGGAUUUUUUGCCUUUUUCCAUAUAAUGUGUGUCUUGACACAUUGUGGAGUUCUUUUUCCGAUAUUUGGUUCUUGUAAUAUCAUGCAGAGACCGUGAAGGAGAUGUAUGAUAAAAUUCUUGAGUCCGCUAAUAUGAAAAGAACAAUGGCUCCAAACGCAUGGACGUGGUCGAUGAUUGAAAAUUGCAAGAACAGAGAGGAUAUCAGAGCUUCUCUUUGAUGUCUUGCAGAACCUACGCAGAUUUGUCAGUUGACUUCUUGCUCCAUUUGAGAAAUAAAGUUUUGAUUUGUGACUAGUUGAUAAAUCAAUUUGUUUUUUUCUUUCAUCGCAGAGAUUGUCAAAUCUUCGUAUUCAUGACUGCAACCUUUGUCAGGAAGUCACAAAAGCAUCUGUGCGUGCAAGGGCUCUUCAUUUUGGUGAGCUCUAUCUACACAAGUUGUGUGCCAAGUUCAAAAAUUUUGUAUCUUGCUAAUAUAUUUACCUGAUACUUCUUCUGCAUUCGAUUGUUGCUACUUACCCUAUCAUUAGCACAAUCAUUUUGUCGUAUGUUGUUGGUUCUCAAAUGAUCUUUUUACCUCAAGCCUUUCAUGCUUGGAGAACAUACUCAGCUGCUUAUGAAAUUUUUUUACCACCCCGCUGGUACUGUUAGCUAGUUAUGCUUUCGUGUUUUUUUCUUUUUUCCCUUGAUCCGUCAAUUAUGUAAACCAGAAUUUUUUCCUACACGGAUGCUACAUGUGUAUCAAGCAUGGGUAUGGAAAUGACACAACACAUAUAACAUAUUCAAGAAAUAGUUUUUCAUGUUUGAAUGUGUAAAGGCACAUUCAAUUUAAAGUACUUAGGACAUUGUUAAAUGUGUAUUAACUUGUCUUUUGUGAGUAACAUGUUAACCUGCUUGACACGCUGCAAUGUGUUUAAGUAGUUAGAAGGGUCAAUUUAUUUUACAUGUACAGACUUGUUAACUCGUUGAUGACUUGGACAAUAUUAAGCUCAGUCCAACUUAAUAUGUGUCAAGCACUUAUUCUUUAAAUAGGUCUUUUUGCACAUUGCUGGCUCUGUAAGACUGAUUUCUUGAAUGACACCUCCACUUCAAGUUAUUGAAUUCAUUAUUGAAGCUUAGCAAAGAGCAUUCACUUUUUUUUUUUUGGUCGAAAAGAGCAUUCACUUUUUGCAGACAUGUUUUUAUGAACAUUAAGCUUCAGUAGUUAUCAGUUCGAGCUGUUUCUAGUAAUUAAGCUCUUGAUAAUUUUCAAGAAAAAUAAAUCAAAUCAAACUGCAGUUCCAUGGUGUAACUCAUUUUAGGAGAUUGCAGCAGUUAAUUGUCACUAGGAGUACAUGAUUUAAUCAGAACUGACAUCUGUAAAUCCUUAUUUAGGCUAAGAAAUUAAAUUGCAUGGUGCACUUAAUCCAUGAUGAUAGAAACUAAGGGUUGACAAAAUUGUAGGUAAGAAGGCCUUGUGGGAGCAUAAUGUCUAUGGAUUCACCCCUACAAUUGGCUCUGCAAACCAUCUUUUGGUAAUGAUGAAGUGUAUCUUUAUCAAGCAAUUCUCUUUCCAUUCGUUUUAUUUACACAAUUCUUCUGCUAACUUGGGGUAUUGCAAUGCAGAAAUAUGCUAAAGAGUGCUAAAGAGCACAAAGAUGCUACCCUCAUGCAGGAAGUUAUGAAGCUUUUGAAGAGGAAUAACUUGCCAUUGCAACCCACCGUGGCCGAUAUUGUUUUCAGGUUCACUUCUGUGCUGUUUCUCCUGAGAAGGAUGUUAUUAGCAUGUAGUAAGCCAUUAUUGCACUUAAUUGUGUGUUAUGUACUACAUAGUUAUCAAGCAAUUUGUCCAAUUUAUAAGUGUCAUUUAUAUACGAUUUAAUCAACUUGUUUUUAUUUGAAUCAUUUUGUCUACACUGCUACUCUCGAUCUAAUAGUUUGCUCAUGUUAUUUGACAUCCUUUCUUUCCAUGGAAAAAUUUUGCAGCAUUUGUGACGAUACAGACAAUUGAGGGUUCCUCACAAAGUAUUCAAAGAGAUUUGUCAAAAAUGGAGUGAAUUUGCAUAAAGCUGCAUUCGACAUCUGGAUGGAGUUUGCUGCAAAAGUAGGUGAGAAACACUAGCUCUGUCUCCCUUCGCUGCUCUCAAGCCCUUGUCCCUCAACAAUCUUAUUUUCCAUUUCUUCCCACAAAUAGUUCUCUCAUCCAGGGCCCGCCACUUACUGCAAAAGAUGGGAUGUGCUCUUCUGUACAAUGAUUUAUUUCUCUCCUUAAACAAAAGGGUAGAACUUAGAAAUAAAAAGAAUUCUCGCUGCGCUGUGUCCUUCAAUGUCUUUGUUUCUUUAAUUGUUCUGAGAUUAUGCUUCUUUAUCCUAUUUAGUGGUUUGACGAAAAUUACCCUUUUCAGGAGACAUUGAAUCUCUAUGGGAAACUGAGAAGUUAAGAUGUGAGUCCAUGAAGCAGCACACCGUGGGCAGUGGGUUCUCAUGUGCGAAGGUAGUUUACAAUCGCAGACUGUUGAAAUCACAAAUAUCAGACCCUGAAAGCAAUAGGUCUUCUUGCAUUAGAAAAUCUGAUAAUGGGAAAAUAUUAAUAUUGCAAUACAGAUCAGUACAAAGUUCUUGGUAAACCAGGUGAGAGGUCUAUGGCCGAAAAAAGCGAGAGUUAAUGAUUGAAUAAACCAAAAUUUGGCUCACAUCCUAGGACAUGAAGCACCUAUGGGCAUGAGAAUGCUCAUUGUGAUCACACAAAGGAGAUAUAACUACAUUUUCGGUAUUUGGAAGCAUUUAUUGUGGCUUUUAGCACUCUGGUUUAAGAUUAAAUUUUUAUCGUCAUUUACUUGUUUUGUGGCAAACUAAAUGGUUUUAUAACCAAUUUUUUGUGCAGGGAUAUUUACUUGAAGGCGAACCUGAGGAGGCUGCUACAGUCAUUCACGUCUUCAAUCAGGUGCUCCUCACUUCUCAGAGCAUCUAUAGCUAUUAUUAAUAUGCUCAUCAUCACCAUCUGGCAUGAUUGCAAUCCUAAAUUACCUCAGCCUCUGAACUAGUCCUUCAAUUUUCCAUAUACUGUCAAGGAAUAAAGCAAUUAGUGGAAGAUAUACAGAAUUGUCCCCCAAAAUGUGCUCAGAUAAAAUUACCAUGACAUAUCCUCUCUCAAGGGGGACUGGAUGAUUUGGGUUUCGUAUUUGGUGCAUGCUAUACUAUUAAAAUAACUUGAGUUAGUUCCAUGGAUCCUAAUAGAGUUCGAAAGAUCAUCUCAGACUCCUCCUGAAUUGAAUAAAGUUGGAAAUACACGUAUGUAGGCUCUGUUUGUUCAGAUGUCGCUUCUUAGGUCUCAUAAUGUGAAUGCCUUGGAUUGAUGCCAGAGUUUUCCUGAUGCUAAGAGGUCCAGCAUCAUGGUUGAACUUCAAAAGCUUGUCAGUGAGUGGCUUUUCGAGGUUAUCAAACGGAAGAAAGAAUAUGACCACAAGGUACUUCCUUUGACUAAAUAUCCAUCACUUUGGGUAGAAGUAGAAAUAUUGCUUGUUUGCAGUUAUAUAUUGCUCUGGUAGAGAUAGAAAUAUGGCUUGUUUAAAACCUCUCAUUCUUUUCGCUCAUGUAGGCAUUGGCUGCUUCUCUCAAAUCCGAUAUCCUGGCCUUGGUGGUGAAAGUGAAUACGGAACAACUAACCACCGAAGGCACCCUUUGUUAAAGUAUGACAGAAUUGAGAUUGAAUGCACUAGCUGCAGAUCUGUCUCCUAUGUGGACUGCUAAGGUUGCCAUGUUAAUUUCAACCGAUUCCGCUGAGAAGCAAGACAAGCGCGGUACUCACGUCUCGAGCAACAGGCAUCUGAAGUUCUCUUGUGAAGGUCCCUGAACCAUGAAAAGAUCUGCUCCUUCUUGAUUUGAAUGUUGUCACUUCUGUACUUUCAGAUAAUGAUUCUUUUCUUUUCUUUCCCCUAAAAAUCUGAGUGUAUUUGAGACGAUCGGUGCAUCAUCAGCAAUUGAAUUCUGAGAACAACCUCGGAUGACUAGUUUUUGCAAAAAGGAUUCUUUUGGCUCACGCAUUUUAGAUGGGACCAAAUGGACAGUUAAGAGAGACAAUUGAUAAGGUGGUCCUUUCAAUUUCCAUCUGAUUUAGCAGGCUAUUUUGUCAUAUUUCUGACAGAAUUUCGCUGUCCAAAAUUAAGAGAGUGAAUUUAAUGCCGACUCAUUUGAUGUUGGCAUACAGCGACCGCCAUUGCUUCCUGAUUUAAUCGGAUUGAACUGUCCAAUCGUGCUGCAAGAGUGCAUAACAUAAAUUACAUCCCUUUUUACAUCAUGAAAGAUAACGAAAAACCUGAAUUAUCGGAAAUGGCUUUGGUACCCACAUGCGUAGGUUUGUGCAUAUAAGGCGUAAAAGAGGUGACAAACGCAAUCCUCUAGAAUUAAAACAUGUGCAUUAAUCAUGUGCAAAUUUUAGUAAUGAAUUGACAUAAUUGUAAUAGGUGUGAGAUUUUUUUGGUAAUUUUUUUGUAUUUUCGCUAUUAAUACCUAAAUUUUUGCAUAAAAAAUGAGUUAAUUUUUUACCCCAAAAAAAUAAAAAUCACAUGGCGUAUAGUUUAGGUACAUUUAUUUUUAAUUUGCAUUUUUUGCAUUUAUUUAUUGAACUGACGAUGAGCGCAAGAUAUUUCACAUAUUCAAAUAAUAUACACUAAGGGAUGUAUAUUGGGCAAAAAUAAAAUUUUCGGAUGAAAUAUUUGAAAAAUAUCGCGUCGGGUGCAUAUAUUUCGAAUGAUAUAUUCAGGAAAUUAUGCAUAACCAAAAUUGGAAACAAAAUAUGCCAUGGGAUCUAAAUUUUUCCUCUAUAAAAGGCGUUGUGCGCGUACGGACGAAGGGGGGCAACAGUGUCGUCUUCUUCGUGGACCCCCUGUCCACGUCGGCCCCACGUUCACCUCGCCGGCACCGCCUUGGCCAGGCACCGCCUUCGCCACUACGAUUCUGCCACCGCCGCUUCGCCGUACUCCCCGCGAAGCUAGCCGCGACGACCCCACGCCGGCAGAUCUGAGCUGAGCUCGCCUCUGCUCGCGAUUAGCCCCUGACGUCCCCUGAUCCAGCCGCGACCGACGCCAGCCGAGCCCCACUCGCCGUCUCUGAGUCGCUCCCCUUCUGCGACGCCAGCCCCCGCUGCGCUCCGCCUCGCCUCCAGCCCGUGCCGGCCCUCGACGCCGCUGCUGCUUCCCGACGCCAUCAGAUCCAGCGGCCAACACAGCCCCGUCACCCGCAUCAGUCCGUGCACCGCACCUCACGCCCGAGCGAUCCCCCCGACGCCGGCAGAUCCCAAGCCGGUCGCUGCUCGUCUGCUUCGCCGUCGUCGCCACCACAGCAAGUCGCUGCCCACCGACCGACGUCUCUGAUCAGCGCCCGACGUCCGCUCCACCUCUGCUCCGACGCCGCUGCUGCCCCUGCAACGCCCCCUCGUCGGUGCCCUGCUCCGCCGGAGUCCCUCGCCGGCGUCUGCCCUCACUGCCCGCGCCGGACGAGCUGCUCGCUGUUGAUCCCUUCGCUGGAGUUCCGAACGGCGGCCAAAAUUUUUUAAAAAUAAAAAAUAAAAAAAUCAAAUUAGGUAUGUUUGCUUCAUUUUAUUAGGCAAGUUUGUUUUUAUUUUAUUUCUUGUUUACUUAUUUGCAAUAUUUUCCUAUGCAUAAUUAGAAUACCACAUAUCAUCUUAUUCGCAACCACACCUGGAUUUUUUAUUUUAUCUAUAAGGUUUUAAAGCCUUAUAAUUAAUCAAGCGGAAAUAAAAAGGCUUAAGAUCAAUUUAUCGAUUUUAUUAAUAAAAUAUUAUCCACGAUGUUUGAUAUUUUUGAUUUUGAAUGGCUUGUCUUGAUUACUUUAUUUUUAUUUAUCUUGAAAUAUGUUUGAGUUAGAAUAUUGCAUGCUUUAGGGUUAUUUUGCAUGUUUAGGGUAGGAACUUUAUUAUUUCGAAUUUUUAAAAAUAGAAAAUACCAAAAACAUAAAUUUAGGAUAUUAGAUUUUCGUUUCACUGAAUUAAGUUGUAUGUUUAAUUAUUUGCUAAUUUUGAUUAAAAAAAAGGAGCAAAAAAAAAACAAAAAAGAAGAAAAAAUUAGAAUGAGGCAUCCUUUGCACGUCAUUACAUAUUAGGAUAGUUUAAUUCUAGAAAAUAUUUUAUAAGUUUAGAUGAAUUACAUCUUAGGUUAGAGAUUGCUAAGUUAAGAUAAUAUCUUAGUUUAAAUUAGGGUUUAGCCUGACCUAAUCCUUAAUAUAAGUUAGAAUCUUAAUUUAGUUAGAUAAUUUUCACAUUUUUCUAAUUUCGAAUUUCAUGAAAAAUACAAAAAGUGUCUUAGGAUAAAUUAGUUUCAAUCUUUAGGAUAGGUUGAAUGCUUUUUAAGAAAAUAGAAAAUGUCAUGUGCAUGCCAUAUAAAAUUGGGUUCAUGAAAUGCAUGUUACUUAGUUAUUGUGGUUAGAUCCAUUUAGCUAUAAAUUACAUGUGAUUAGGUUAAAUUGCAUUGCAUUGCAUGACUCUGAAAACGAAAAAAAAAAUUGCAUGUUAAUUUUUUAUUUUUAUUUUUCGGCGUGUUAAUUAGAAAUCAUAUUUAGGGUUGAUGUGAAUUCUUAUCUAACAACCCAGAUGCUUUCGUUACUAAAAGAUAGUUCCGUAAUUUAUUCAUUAUUUUCUUAGAUGUUAAAUUGGUGAAUUGCGCACCCGCAUGAUCACCUCACAUGUUAGGAAAAUCGAUUUAAAAUUAAUCCAAAGCUGCCCGCAAAAACAUUUUUGAAUAUUAAAAAGAAAUUGUACCGAAAGGACAUUAGAAAAAUCUAGUGUAAUCAAGUUUCCAUACCAUUAGCCUCUAGUUCGUAGGACAAUUAUUUUACCUAGGUAUCUAAUCGACUUAUCGAAAUCUGAUUAGUGGCGACUUCUAGAUAAUAAUUAUUUGCAUGUUAAGAGGUUUGAACUUAAGUCACGAAUUGAUAUGGGCUUGAGAGAACCCAAGUUAAAUCUAGACUUAACAAUCCAUUAGUCAAACUCUAGAUGGUUCAGCCUCUAAAUUUUGGUCACAACAUUCACUCAAAAAUUUAGGAUUACAAUCAGAAUGUAUAGGACUGAAUUUGAAUUUAUACAAUAAGCUUACAACUGAAUUGCAAUUCUCCCAACUCAACACCUACACUUAUAAUAAGUUUUUUUCCUUUUAAUAAGAGGCUUCGGAUAUAAGAACUUAACAGGGUACGUCAUGAGAGAAGGAUGUGAUGAAAUGUACCAUCGUGCAUUUCUUUGAAGAUAUAAUGUAGUAAUGCAAUCUCGAUGGAUAUUCCUAAGAACUCACGAGAAGACAACUCCCAGUAACAACGAGGUACAAUGGAAAUGAACAUUCAAAGCCCAAGAUUAAUCCGGGGAAAAAUGGAAAAGUUUGGAACAACAAACUUUGAUUUACAUAACAUGAAGUAAGAACGACGUGAUAAGUGAAUUCAAGCAUCCCGUGGAAUUCUAUUAGCACUGGCAGCCUCUACUGAUUCCUGUUCUACCACAACUUUAGUCCUCGAAGGCCGCUCGUUGGGAGUCAUUUGGAGGCAUUGUAAAGCAAGCUGUGCUAUUUGGAAUGCAUAAUCUAUAUAUGUAAGGUAUAGGGAUGGUAUAAAUUUGGUUCUCAUUUCCUGCAGGCCGCCAACAUCGUGAGCCACUAGCUUCUUCCAAAAUAUCUAGUGUUUCUUUUUCGGUAAUUGGAGCAUCUGCAGAAAUGAAAAGUUAUGUAGGCAAUACAAUCGUAGAUUCCAUGCCAAAGGAUUUAAGUAGCUAAAAGGAAAACACACCUCGUAUUUCAUAGAGGGAUUAUAGUGAACCUCACACCAGAAACUCAACCAAAACUCUGCAUCAAUUGAAAGUAAGGUUAAUAAAAGGAAAAACUCAAAAAAUAUGGAGUUUCAAAAGACCAGUUGCACAUUGAACAAAAGCAACAGUAGAUCAAUUGCAAAUGUUUACACCUAGGUUUAAAAUCAAUCAAAUAUAUAUUAAGCCGUACCCAAGCAGCUGUUCUAAGCAAGCAAAAGAACAAAUAUUUAAUUUCCUAAAUGAACAACAAGCAAAGCAUUGCGAAGGAGGGUCUAUGCGUAUAUGUAUGCAAGCAACACAAGCAACACUCUUUUUUCCAAGACAAAUGAGAAGUAAAAUAUCAACUUCACAUUGAACAUUGCACCAACUGAUCAUUUGACCCGACAAAACAACUAUGAAGAAGAAUAGCAAGCAAUACCCUAGGCAGAGGGAACUCAUAAAUCCAAUGGCCCAACAAUAAUCAAGUUAUCAAUAUAAGUAUCAUCAAGAGGUUUUAAACCUCCUUCAGGCUCUCGAACAUCAACCAAAAAAGCAUUGAACAUCAAUGGUACCAGAACGAUUGACUUCAUCAUUCUUCGAAAUUCUGCAUUCUGACAGUCGCUCACUGCCAUCAUAGGGUAUUACCUAUCAUAUAUCCGACCAUCAAUCACAGCAUGGACUAAUCUAUUCCAAACAAGCUCAAUCACAGAGAGUAUCACAACCAAAAGCACAUAACAGAACAAUCUGUGAUGAUAGAAAAAAUGAUACCCUAGGCAACAUCAAGCCGCUGCCAUUAAGUUCAAUCAAGCAAGCCAAAUAUGGGGUAAAACAGUAAUAAAUCGAUAGGCACUGCAAUUUUGACACAAAUUAGCCAAUCAAACCGAAUCAUGUCCAAGCCCAAUCAAAGGCAACUAAAUUGCCAACCGGAUUGAGCUGGACAUCACUGGCAGAGAUUAGUAGUGAAAGCGAAGGUGCCCUGCUGGUGGAGGUCUAGAGUGAGAGGAAGUCGUCGCAAUAGACCUUGCGCUUCAGCUUCUACUUCGGGUGCUUCGUGAAGGUGACAUUUCAGCACACACAGACUCAAGCACAUAACUCAUUUCAUCAAACACCGAAAUUGCACAUGAUCACCGAACAUUGGACAGGCAAAACUUAGUUGGUUCACACGUACACAAAGCAUAAUUCAGCACACUAAUUACAAACAUGAUCCAAAAGCAGUUCAGGAUUGAAAAAGAAAACAAGAGCACAACACCGAUCCGCUCCUAGAACCUGCAUUGUUGGCUCAAAAUGCGGGCGUUGAGUCCAUCACAGAGCUGAAAGCUCUGAUGUAUUCAUCCGUGGGAUUCUGUUUACAGCAUAGCAAAUUUAUCUCCCAUGCGAAGUGAGGUUAUCAAUUUCAAAAUAUGUGUGAAGCAGCAAAUCAACAACGAUCUCUAAUAAUUUGUUACAUAUCAAAUAAAAAUGAUGCAAUCGACAUACAUACCUCUAGGAGAAACCAUCCUAAGAAAAUGUAGCUAAAAAAGCCAAACCAAACUAGGAAAAGAACACAAAUACUUGUACAUAAUUAAGAGCCCUCUGGCUGCUCGGAGGCAUCAUAAUUUAAAUACCUUCAUCAGAUUUUCAGACAAGAAUCCGCUAAAAGGUCAUUAAAAAGUGCAUGCGAAACUUCUCUGUUCAUAUCUGUGAAAGAAUUUGAUUGCCAAAAAAGGAAAACAUUGGUACUUACCUGGAUUCGUUUAAGGUUUUAACACAAGGGAACAAUUCGUGGUCGUCCUUCAAAAAGCUUCCAAGCGGUAAUUUGUCUUCUUCAUCGUUUUCUCCCACAAAUUUGAUUGACUUCUCCGAGCAAAGCCGAGAAAUUUCCUCCACUGCUAAUUUCCCACAACAUCUUAUUGUAACCUCUCGCAGUCCCUUCAAGCUUGAUAGAUCAUGCAACUUCUCUAAAGAUUCACAGGAUACAAUCUCCAGGUAUUUGAAAGAUUGGGGUAGUUCACAUUGAAUCUCAACCAGAUUACCACAAUCGAUUAUGUAAAUACUCCUUAGCUUGUUUAACUUGCUUAGAUCAGGUAGCAUUGCCAGCUGUCCGAGGUAAUUAAACUCCAAAUCUCGUAGGUUCUCCAAACAACCAAGGCCUUCAAUCUCUGCAACUGGACAGUCCCCAAUCACGAGAGACGAUAGUUUCCUCAAAUUCGAUAGAUCCAUCGAGCAAAGUGAGUGGCAACACCAAAUGUCAAGAGACGAAAGUUUCCUCAAAUUCGAUAGAUCCAUCGAGCAAAGUGAGUGGCAGUGCGAAAUAUGGACAAUCGAUAGUCUCCUCAAAUUUGAUACAUCCAUCGAGCAAAGUGAGUCGCAGAGCAAAAUAUCGAGAGACGAUAGUUUCCUCAAAUUCGAUAGAUCCAUCGAGCCAAGUGAGUCGCAACCAGAGAGAUGUAAGGAGGAUAAAUUUGAGGGAAGCCUCGGGAGGUGACGUGGAUGAAGAGGGAGGCUGAGGUCUAUCGAUGAGGCGGUCUCCUUUAAAAAGCGCAGGUGCAAAGAUUCCAAUUGGCUUAAGUUCCCAAUCCACCGCGGUAUCGGUUCUUCUAGAAGCCCAUAAGAUUCAUAACCAUAGGUGUGAUCGCCAAUUCUUGCUUUGAAAUCCUUGACAUGAUUCUCAUCGUAGCUGAUUUCCUCUGGGUCGCCCUUCUUCGACUUCACACAGGCAUUGCGUAUUCUCUCUGAUAUCGUUCUGCAUCUUCAUUACUUUCAAUUUCUUCAACAUUCCAAUGGAAUUGGGUACUUCUUCAAUGGUCGUGUGACUUAUGUCCAACUUGGUUAGCGAAUCCAAAUUUCCAACUGUCUCCGGAAGCCUCUGGAGAUUCCAACAAUAGCUUACAUCUAAGAAAACCAAGCUUUUCAUUUGACAAAUUGAUCUAUCAAUUUCGAUUAAUGAUUCACAGCCUGAUAGAAUCAAAUGUUUUAAAUUUGAAUGAGCUGAGAAGUUGGGGGUUCUCUUCAAGUGUUGGCAAUAGGCCAGAUUUAGAAUUUUCAAAUUUUUUAUCACUUGUGAAAGAAAAAUCAUGCAAAGUUUAGUUUUGAAUCUAAUAAGACGGAAGAAUAAGUGUUGUCUAGCAUAUAACAUACCAAACCCAAGAACUUCACAUUCAUCACAUUGCACCUACAAAACAAUACCCUCAGCAGAGGGAACUUAUAUAUCCAAUUGCCAAACAAUAAUUAGGCUGCGAAUAUAAGUGUCAUCUAGAGGCUUUUGCCCUCCUUCAGGCUCUCCAGCAUUGACCAAAUAAGCAUUGAACAUCAGUGACUCACCAGAAUAGGUAACUUCAUCAUUCUUCAAAAUCCUGCAUUCCAACAGCUGCUUGCCGCCAUCAUACGGCAUUGCCUAUCAUAUAUCUGACCAUCAAUCACAGCAUGGACUAAUCUACUCAAAACACGCUCAAUCACAGAGAGUAUUACAAUCAGAAGCACAUAACAGAAAAUCCAUGAUGAUAGAAAAAAUGAAAUCCCAAGCAGCAUUGAGCUGCUGCCGUUCAGUUCGAUUGAGCAAGCUAAAUUUGGGAAAAAAAGGGUAAUAAAUCGAUAGCCACUGCAGUUUUGACAUAGAUUAGCCAAUCAAACAGAAUCAUGUCCUAGCCCAAUCAAAGGCAACUAAAUUGCCGAUCGGGUUGAGCUGGACAUCAAUGGUAGAGAUUAGUGGUGAAAGCAAAGGUACCUUGCUGGUGGUGGCGUGGAGAGAGAGGAAGCCGCCACAAUAGACCUUGUGCUUCAGCUUCUGCUGCAGGUGCUUCUUGAAGGUGACAUUACAGCACAUGCGGUCUCAAGCACAUAGCUAAUUUCAUCAAACACCAAAAUUGCACAUGAUCACCAAACACUAGACAGGCAAAACUUAAAUGGUUCACACUCACACGAAGCAUAAUUCAGCACACUAAUUACAAACACAAUCCAAAAGCAGUUCGGGAUUGAAAAAGAAAACCAGAGCACAACAUCAAUCCGUUCCUAGAACUUGCAUUGCCAGCUCAAAAGGCAAGCGUUGAGUCCAUCACAGAGAAGUCAUACUGGAUUCCUGAAAGCUCUGACGUAUUCAUCUGCGGGAUUCUGCUGAGUCUGGAUGUUCUGUGUCAGGGCAAUAAGGAUGGCAAUGCCAGAUUUCUGUCCCUCAAGAUUCUGUUUGAUGCGAUGUUCGUUUUCCUAAUCAAAACUCCAGAGUUAGAGCAUAAGCUGGCAGACUUGAAAUCCAUAUCCUAGGUGCAAUUUCGCCCUCUUUGGCCAACCUUGAAUGAGGAUGAGGACCCCGAUACCAAUGUGUGUGCAGAAGCUCCUCCUGAUGCUCAUAGAGUUCAACUUGACUAAAAUUUCUGAGACUCUACAACCAAAGACAGUCAGCCACUGCUUCAGAUUUUCACUUGGAGAUCUGUCCUGUGCAAAUGUGAAUGAUGUUGAGCUGUGCAUGGCUCUGGCAUCGGCUCCAGAAAUGGAUCCCAAGUUGCUUUCUCAACUGAAAGUAGUAUGGUGGAUUGGAAUCCUUUUGGAGUUUGUACAUGCGAAGAAUAUGGAAGAAUUUCUCAAAUUGACGCUUGGCUUGUGUAAAGCUCUUCUUUUACGAUCACUAGGUUCUAUGAAAGGUUCUGCGUACAUGGAAGAGCCACCACUACUUGAUGAAAGUUCUUCUGAGGUAGCGAGUAGCAUAUGAUGCAUAACUGACUUUGGUGGCAGUGCCAGUGUUUUCCUGGAAUUGAGUGGAUCUCAUCACAGAAACAAUGCCGAUAUUGCUUCAGAAUGCACAGUUCUAUUACUGAAAGCAGCCCCAAGGGAAGGUGCUCUCUUUUUCUUACCAAUCUUUUGUAAGUGAGUGCAAUUCUCAAGUCUCAGCAAAAGGGCGCUCCUUAUCUACUGGUACAGCGAAUGCUGCAUUCUCUUAGUUACUCCUGUAGGCGGUGUUUGCUGCACAGAAUGAUUUUUGUCAGUGUGCCUGUCAAAGAUUGCUAUGAUUGAAGGCAUCAUUGCUGAGAUAAAAUAUUCUGGUGCUGCUGCUUUAGCCAGUGCUGCCACACUGGUAAUCUCAGAAUUGCGGUGGCUCCCUCAUUUAUGACUUCUCUCCAUAACAUUUGCAAAUCCCACUAAGAAGCACACCUUUCCUGAAAAAUAAACUGAACUUAAGCAUGGCAAUACAGAGUGUCUGUCUACUUCAAAGUCGCAACAAUGAGUUGAUUGUACUGUAAAGUCCCAGGAUGAGAAUUUGUAUGACCUUCCAACACACAUUCCAUCUAUUUGUUUACAGCAUAGCGAAUUUAUCUCCCAUGCAAAGCGAGGAUAUCAAUUUCAAAAUAUGUGUGAAGCAGCAAAUCAACAAUGAUCUCUAAUAAUUUGUUACAUAUCAAAUAAAAAUGAUGCAAUCGACAUACAUACCUCUAGGAGAAACCAUCCUAAGAAAAUGUAGCUAAAAAAGCCAAACCAAACUAGGAAAAGAACACAAAUACUUGUACAUAAUUAAGAGCCCUCUGGCUGUUCGGAGGCAUCAUAAUUUAAAUACCUUCAUCAGAUUUUCAGACAAGAAUCCGCUAAAAGGUCAUUAAAAAGUGCAUGCGAAACUUCUCUGUUCAUAUCUGUGAAAGAAUUUGAUUGCCAGAAAAGGAAAACAUUGGUACUUACCUGGAUUCGUUUAAGGUUUGAACACAAGGGAACAAUUUGUGGUCGCGCUUCAAAAAGCUUCCAAGCGGUGAUUUGUCUUCUUCAUCAUUUUCUCCCACAAAUUUGAUUGACUUCUCCGAGCAAAGCCGAGAAAUUUCCUCCACCGCUAAUUUCCCACAACUUCUUAUUUUAACCUCUCGCAGUCCCUUCAAGCUUGAUAGAUCAGGCAACUUCUGUAAAGAUUCACAGCGAAUCGACAAUGUUUCCAAAGAGUGGGGUAGUUCGCCUUGAAUCUCAACUAGAUUACUGCACUGCCAUACUAGAAUACGCCUUAGCUUGUUUAACUUGCUUAGAUCAGGUAGCAUCGCCAGCUGCUCGAGCUUAUAAAGUUUCAAAACUCGUAGGUUCUCCAAACAACCAAGGCCUUCAAUCUCUGCAACUGCAGUGUCACAAAUCGAGAGAGACGAUAUUUUCCUCAAAUUCGAUAGAUCCAUCGAGCAAAGUGAGCGGCAGCGCGAAAUACGGAGAGACGAUAGUUUCCUUAAAUUCGAUAGAUCCAUCGAGCCAAGUGAGUGGCAGUUCCAAAUAUGGAGAGACGAUAGUUCCCUCGAAUUCGAUAGAUCCAUCGAGCAAAGUGAGUCGCAGAGCAAAAUAUCGAGAGACGAUAGUUUCCUCAAAUUCGAUAGAUCCAUCGAGCCAAGUGAGUCGCAACCAGAGAGAUGUAAGGAGGAUAAAUUUGAGGGAAGCCUCGGGAGGUGACGCGGAUGAAGAGGGAGGCUGAGGUCUGUCGAUGAGGCGGUCUCCUUUAAAAAGCGCAGGUGCAGAGAUUCCAAUUGGCUUAAGUUCCCAAUCCACCGCGGUAUCGGUUCUUCUAGAAGCCCAUAAGAUUUCCCAUCACAAUUAGGUGGGCCAAGGCCCAGAUGCAACACCUUUAAGUUAGCGAGAUUUGAGAGAUCCGGAACCGCGUCCACCCUCAACUUCUUCAGUUCUAAUUCGAUGAGACUUUCAGGAAGCCUUGGUAGGGCGUGUACUCCCGGCCAUCCCAUUCCCCACUUCCUUAGGGAUUCAUAACCAUAGAUGCGAUCGCCAAUUCUUGCGUAGGUAUGCUUGAUAUAAUCUUGAUGGUAGGAGAUUUCCAUUGGGGAUAUCUUCCCCAACUUCAAACAGGCAUUGCGUAUUCUUCUUCCGAUAUCAUUCUGCAUCUUCAUUACUUCCAAAUUCUUCAAGAUUCCAAUGGAAUUGGGUACUUCUUUGAUGGUCGUGUGACUUAUGUCCAACUUAGUUAGCGAAUCCAAAUUUCCAAUUGUCUCCGGAAGCCUAUGAAGAUUCCAACAAUAGCUUACAUCUAAGAAAAUCAAGCUUUUCAACUGACAAAUUGAUCUAUCAAUUUCGAUUAAUGAUUCACAGCCUGAUAGAAUCAAAUGUUUUAAAUUUGAAUGAGUUGAGAAGUUGGGGGUUCUCUUCAAGUGUUGGCAAUAGGCCAGAUUCAGAAUUUUCAAAUUCUUUAUCACCUGUGAAAGAAAAAUCAUGCAAAGUUUAGUUUUGAAUCUAAUAAGACGGAAGAAUAAGUGUUGUCUAGCAUAUAACAUACCUUCACGUGGCUCCACCCCUUCCAAUCAUGAGUAAUUUCACUCCAAGAUAGAUCAAGGAUAAUCAAAUUCUCUACAGAGAAAUUUGCAAUAUUAAAUGUUGGGCGAAUAUUAUGCCAAGAAAGCCAUCGUAAUCGUGGAAGGAGAUCUGAAUUCCUUCGGAAAAUAUUAGUUGGAAGAGCAUAUAACGGCCAUUUGAGCCAAAGAAGCAACUUUUCUCCACGAAAAUUUUCCUUCAAGUCAUUUACUUCAAGGAACGUUAGAUAUUGCAGGCUCUUAAAGUCAUCAUAGGUAAAACGGUGCUGAUCAUCAAACUUGAGACAAAGAGCUUCAACUUCUUUCUUUUCCUGCCCAAAGGAAAAAUUUUAAAACAAAAAAGUUAAAAAGAAACACGUUUCUUCAAGUUCACUAUUUUAAGGGGUUGAGUUGACUACGGUCAUUCCUUUAAAAUCUUAAAAGACCAAAAAUAUCGGUUGAGUAGGUCGUGAUGGUGCUAGAGAACACAAAAAGUAACUGCCUUUUUUUAAAAUAGAAAAUUUUCAUAAGUAACUUGGAGAUUUGUUGCGCUAAGGCAUUUUACCUCAUGUCUCUUCAGCAAUUCCAAUCCGUCCUUGGGAUUCCACACAUGACGUCGCUUCUCAAUUUUCAUCUUACUUUCUUGACGAACUAUUUCUCUUCCCAUGUCUCUAAGUUGAUCAUGCAUCCACAAUUUAUUAUCUAUUCCAAUUUUUAUUAAAGACAUGUUCUGCAAAACUUCCAAGGCUACUUCCGAAAAAAGUUCAGAUGCAUCCCAGAAAUAGACCACAAUGUCUUUGUGAUAUCCAAUGAAUUGGCAAGCUAUAUAAAGGAAUAUAUGCUGCUGCUGAUCAUUUAAGGCAUCAUAACUUAUUUUCAGCUUACUCUGAACUUCAUCAGGAGGAAUACUUUCUAGCUUCUUCAAUGUGGCAUCCCACAUUUCCUUAUUUUUGUUGGAUAAAAGUGAACCUAUGACCUCGAGGGCCAAUGAAAGACCUCCAGCAAUGUGUACCAUCCUCUUGGAUCGGUCGAUAUACUCGUCUUUUGGAGAAUCUCUUCUGAAGGCAUGUUUGCUAAAAAGUUGAAGAGAUAGAUUCGGAUUCAAGCCUGUAAGCUCAUACCUCCAGUCCACUUUCGAGGCAUGGAUAACAUCUUUCCUUCUUGAAGUAAUAAUAAGUUUGCUCCCUUUACCAAACCAAUCACGCUCACCUACAAGUGCAUUUAUAUGAUCCUUUUCUUCCACAUCAUCGAGAAGAAGCAGGACUUUUUUAUUAGACAACCUUUUUCCAAUGAUCUCAAUCCCUUCAUCGAUGUUUCUUAUAUCUGUCCUUGUUAUCUUAAGGAUAUCAGAGAUGAGCUGUUGCUGCAAGUAACAAAUGCCCUUGAGAUUUGACGUUUCACGGAUGUUGGAAAGGAAGCAACAAUUGUUGUACUUGUCGGAAAGCUUAUUAUAGAUUAAUUUUGCAAUCGUUGUCUUUCCAACGCCACCCAUCCCAUGAAUUACCACAAUCCGCAUUUCACUUGUGUGAGCACCUAUCUUUUCCAUGAUUUUAUGCACAUGGUGGUCCACACCAACCAAGUUGUUCGAUACCGCCAAAUAAGCCUUCUUCAACUCAUUGAAAACCUUAUGGGUAACCAUCUUUGUGAUCUCACCUUCUUCCCUAGUGUUUGUCGGAGGUCAAAUGGCAAUGAGUUAGAAAAUUGUAUUAAACCAAACUAUGUUCUCACAAGACCAAAGUGAAAACUAAAGACCUAUUCGAAAUGCUUUCUACAAGGAUUUACUCCAUUGUAAAUGAAUUAGCGUUCGCACAUAUGGUUAAUGAAUGACAUUAACUAGAAAAAAAAAAAGUUAUUUGGAAUGAAAAAGGACAAAAUUGGGAUUGUACCACUAUUUUGUGUGAUUUUCGCAAUAUAAUUUCAAUAGCAUAAUAUUCAAUUUCAACAAGGCUAACACAAAUCUAGAAAAGAAACCAAUUGAACCACAUUAAAGGUUUUAAUGGUACAAUGCACAUCAAAUGGAAUGAUAGAGGUAGUCACCUGUUGGUCUUGUUGUGCAGAUCCCACCCUUUUAUUGCCGCAACUGCACUCAGAGCAGUCUUCCAUUGACGCAUAGUCUCUUCGUCAUAUUGAUUCUUCUUUUCAUGUGAAAGAAAGGCCUCUCUAUAACCCCCAGUUUGGUGGCGAACCUCUGAAGGUGCCACAUCAUAAAAAAUGGGCAUGAUCUUUUGUCCCCUAGUGUUUUGGCACUCAACCAUUUGGACUAGCUCCUUAAGACACCAUACGCUAGAGGCAUAACCUUUUGAAAAUAUAGGUAUUGAGAUCUCUGAUUGAUUUAUUGCUUGGAGAAGUUCCGGGCCAAAUUCUUCCCCCUCGCAGAGCUCUUUGUCAUCCUUAUAAACGCGGAUUCCCGCAUCUAUCAUACUAGUGUAAAGGAAGCUGGUAAAACCCGUUCGAGUAUCCUCUCCUCUGAAGCUCAAGAAUACUUCAUAUGCAUAUCUUGAUGAAUUAACCAUUCCUUGACCUUCUGUCACAGUGUGAGUAAAGGAAGCGCUCCCUGCUAUUCCAUCAUUUUUAUAGAUAUGUUGUGUUUCUACGCUCCCCUCCAUUGAUUUACUCAAUCUGAUCUUUAAGAAAUACCGAACAGCAUAUUAGCAAAAGUAGUGGCAGCCAAAGAUGGAAAAUGUUUAGAAGCCUGACUGACAAAUAAUGGAGAUCUCUGUAGGUCAUUAAACGUAGUAUUCAAGAUUAGCUAAAUAUGCAGAGAGUCAUGGGCCAGUGUGCAACAAUUGUUCAAUAAGAAUGAUUCAUUGCAGCACCGCUCCAGCCUAUCAAAGUUGACAACGCAUGUGAAUAUAUGAGUAUUAAAUCUCAAGGGGCAUUUUAACACCUUAAGGAGAUUAAAUCUCCUGAGAACGUUGACAUAGCACAGUGCAAAGUUCUCAUUUAAAAAAAAAAAAAAAUAGCUCACUCUUCUCAAAUCUUGAGAAUAUAAAUUAUUUCCUAGGAGUUUUAAAUCUCAAAGGGAAAGCAUGAACAUGUUCUCAUUUGACAUAACACGAUGCAGAGCAUCUUUUUUAAAAAAGGAAAGUUCCACACUUCUCAAAUUUCUACAAUAUAAAUUGUUUUUCUUUAAUGUCAUUUCUGCAAAAAUGACCUUCACUCUCUCUAGAAUGGAUCAAAAAAUUAAUUAGAGCUAUUCAUGUGAUGGGAAGUUGUAGUUUGUAAUCUUACACGUUUCUAAAAUUCCGUAAACCAAAAAUGGAGUUUUGUUUCAUGCGUGCUAGAUUUAAAGAACCAAUUAUAAACUUGAAGUAUCACUGGUAAGUAAAAACUAAUCGAUAACUUGUGAAUCUGGGCAAUUGUUAGAAAGCUAUCAAAAAAAUAGUUUUUUCAUCCUCAAACCAAAUAGUGGAUUACCAUUUUUUCUUUUAGAUUUUACAAAUGGGUUUGUAUUUUUGCUUAUAGGAUAUGAAUGCUUACAUACUUUAUUAAUAGUCUCGAUUGAUGUUCCAACUUACAAACAAAAUACCUAUUUCAGCCCCUCUAAAUUCAAAUAUGGUGUUAACACCGUUUCGAAUUUAUGAGUAGCAAUGUUCAUUUGUAAAUACUACGUGAACAAAAUAAUCCAUUUACCAUAUGGAAAAUACUCUUGUAACUUACGAGCAAUUGUUUGCUUUUAUAAGUGGGCAAGUAUUUUUGGUAGUAAAACUAUGAGUUGUUUGCAAGCUUUGUUAGUAGUCUUGGUUAAGGGUGGUAACUUACAAACAAAUAACUAUUUUACAAGUAUAAAUCUUUACUAUAUUAUUAACCUUGUUUUGAUAUCAUGAGUUGCAAUUUUAUUGUUAGUAACAUGCUAACGAAACAACUAAUUUACCUACUUCAAAUAUUCUUGCAGAUCACGAAUAGUCAUCUACUUUUUUACAAGUUGGUGUGUUUUUCCUCUAGUAGAUUACGAUUUCCCUACAUAUUUUUUACUAGCUAGUCCUAAAAAAAAUAACCAUUUGAUUACCCUAAAUUUUUAGUAGAUUAUUAACAUUUUUUGACGUCUAUUUGUCAGUAACAUUACCAACAUUUUUUAUGCAACUGUACGUAUGCCAGACAAUUGUGUGUACUUCUUUACUAUUGAUAUUGAUGAGUAUUUGUAUUUAUGAAGCAUUCUACUUGUUUAUAUAGUAAAUUGUAAGACACCAAUUGAAAGCUCUGCGAUGACUAAAUAUGCCACAACGAGAUGACAGGUGGUAUUUUUUCAAAAUGAUGUUGCAACAUGAUUAGGCAUUGACAAAGUUAACGAUAUAUAAGGUUUGGAACUUAUAUAAUUUACAACCAAAUAAUAGUGUGGUUCUGUGUUAUUCAACAUCUAAUGCAUAAUACAAGAUUCAAUAGCAAUUUCAUGUAUGCUUCCAAUGUAAUUUGUUCGUUUGAUAAUCUAAUCGCGGUGGUUGAGAGUUUGCUAUAUCUAGGGAAGAAUGUACAUAGAGUAUUAGCUUCCUCUAUAAUUACUCUAUAGAAUUAGGAGAUGCGCAUGCCAUCAUUGUCAGGCAUCUCAAAAUUAAAGAUGUCCACACUGAAUGAUUAUUGUAUUAGCGUUGGGCUCCAACUUCAUAGACUACUAUUAUGAAAGAAAGAAGAAGAUUCCUCUCAUAUCUAAGCUCGAAAAUUGGUUCUGUUUUAUAUUGGUCCUAUAGACGUGCCCCUCCACUUUCCAAUAUACUAAUAGUGUCGAAAUUUUUUCUGCCAAGGACUUGUAGACAUGGUGAGACUGUUAGUCGAUAGGAAUUCCGAGUUGAAGAUAAAAUACCAAUACACGGCUAUUCAUUUGAUGUGUUAAAAUAAAAAUUAAGUGCCAAUAUUGUAGCUAUUACUUCAAGUAUAGCUCGACGUUCGAAUUGGAUUUGAACAAGAAUAUGAGUUUAAGUAGCUUAAAUCUAGCCUCCAUGACUCUGCCUUUAUGAUUUGAUCACCUUAUGUGAUUCAAGGAUCUUGUUGCUUUCAACUUCAUCUUAAGAUAACGUGUAAAACCAAUUAUUGAUAAGAGUCAGCAAUCUACUGACCACAUGGAUAAAAUUUCAUAGGAGUUGGUUAACUCCUUCAUUAAUAUAUUGGCAUUUUUUUUAUAGUGUUGGUAAGUAAAUUUCAGAGGAGUUGGUAAUAUAUUAAUUCAUUAAUAUGUUGUUAAAUUCUUGUAUGUGCCAAUAAUUGAUUUAUGAUUCCAGUAAUAAGAGUUGGUAAUUAACCACUUGACUCGUAUGUCAGUGAAUUCUUGAUAUUGCUGGUAAUUUAUUUAACACUGGUAAAAUUUGAGAGUGGGUACUUUAAUACUUCCAUGUAAUGUUUGUAAAUUCUUAGAUUGUGUCAGUAAUAUACUUACCACGCUCAUAAAAUUUUGUAGGAGUCGGUAAUUUACUAUUUUAUUGGCAUGUUUGUAAAUUUCUAAAGAUGUCAGUACUUUACUUACAGCAAUGAUGAAAAUUUUCAAGUGAGUUAAUUUACUACUUCAUUGGAAUGUCGGUAAAAUUUAGAUAAUCUUGGUAAUUUACUAAUCACACUGAUAAAAUAUCAUAAGAAAUAAUAAUUUACGAAUAUAUUGUCAGUCAACAACCAGAAGGUUUCAAGCUUGAAAUGCACUGGUGAAUGGAAGAAUAGCAGAGAUGAGAGCUAGAGAGCUCAAGAUCAGGAUGCAAGAAGCCAAGUCUCCAAUCAAACGAUUACUACAGUACUGUGGAAUAUUUGGAAGUCAAGAAACCAGGCCUAUCUUCCAUAAUAGAAAACCAGAACCAAGCAACCUUGUAGAGUUUGCUUUAGCUGGGUUGAAGAGUUUCAACAGAUGGACCCCAAAAUCGAGCGAAUCUAGUAAGACCAGGGACGGAUCGUCACGAUUUUGGAACCCACCGCAGGCUGGAACACUAAAGAUAAACAUAGACGGUGUGUACGAACCUGGAGCUACUGGAGGCUCGAUCGCUUGCGUCUGUCGUGAUUUCGCGGGGAGGUUGGUGGACGGAGUGGUGCGAGCAGUAGCGGCGCCUUCUGCGUUCGAAGUUGAGGCUCUUGCCCUCUUUUAGAAGCCCUAACUCUGUCUGUAUCCUCAAAGAAAAGAAGCCCUUGUACGUGAGUCUCACAGCUUAUUAUAGUCUUUUUCAAAUAUUCAGGUCAGCCAUGGCGUUAGAGAGGCCAAGUCGCGGACUGGGUAAAGCCCAUGAGAGAAAAGCCCAUUUAUCAGACCUUUCGAUAUUUUCUGCUUAGUGAAGUAUUUCACUUUAUGACAAAAAAUAGAAGAAGGUAGUCUCCAAUCUCAAGGAGCGAACGUGCGAGAGUUUGGGGUUGACACUUCAUAAUGCACGAUGCACACUUUGUUUUUUCCCCCAUAAUGCCUUUAUUUGAUAGUGAUAACAUUCAGUUGCAACCUUAUAAAAGCGUCUGAAAGGAUACUUUCCAAGAUUUCACUUUUAUUUGUUUUUUCUUUGAAGAGUGGUAGCUAAUUCAACUUUUAGUCUAAUGAUUGUAUUUCGAUGCAACCAAAAACCACAUGUAUACGGCACUUUCGUACUUUCCAUUUAGUUCAAUCGGACGGCAUCAACUUUUCUAUUGAUUGAUGACACGAUUAGCUAAACUAUUUAAAGAUCAAAAUAUUUUUGAAUAGAUGGUGUUUGUUUGCAAGUAUUUUUUUUUUAUUUUCAAAAUCAAUUUUGUGGUAAUUAAACAUUCCAUGUUUCACAAUAGAAAACAGAAUCUUGCUAGAUCUAGAGGUGCGAAAAUGUUCCAUUCCGAAAUUCGUAAGUUUAUAAGUCUUUUUAGGCAUAAAUCCAAGUGUGACCAAAAAAUAAAUUGAAGAUUGAAGUUAUAACUCAUGUUGACUCGAUGAGUAAAAAAAAAACUCUUGCAAAGUACGAAUGGAAGAUCAAAUUUGUUCUCUAGUGGCUUUAGCUUUGAUUAUACUCCACUAAACUUUUGUUUUAGUAAUCAAAAGUCCAAAAGUCGCAUCACAAUUUUUCAAAUCACACUCCUUCCAUUUGAACCGAAAUUGAGCUUCCUCUAUUAGCUUAAAAGCUUGAGGAAGAAGAGAAUACAGGUAGGAUCCCACUGCCUGACUGCUGCUCUUUUGAAUGGAAAAAAAAAGACCUUUUAUAUAGAUUUAGGCCUUAACUAUAUGGAGCUUUGCUCCUUCCUGCAGAAAAAUUAAGGAACUAAAAAGGAAGGUCAUUGAACUUAGAAGCCAAGGGGGAUUGGAUGAAUAUGCAGAGAGAGUUGUGGGCCAAUGUCCACCAAAAUUUGGUCAAUAAGGAUGGUUCCUCAUCAUCACUCCGGCCUAUCAAAGUUCACAAAUUAUUGCGUUUCUUAUGCAGAAAAUCAAUGGGAUAUAUGCUGUAAAAAUUUUGGGAUUAGAAUCAACUUUCGCCCCCAAAUCAAUGGGCGGAUUCAUUCAAAGUCAAAUUAACAAAAGCACACAUCAAAAUUCCAAAAAAAGUUUGUUUCCCUCCAUCCUAAUUAAGGUGAACUCCGAACAAUCCAGUUUAAUGGGCUGAUCGGGCCUAGGCCCGAAUUAACUCCGAAGCAUAAAGCCUAGUGGAAUUAUCGGGCUUGAUCUUCAUCAAAGCACUCCCCUAGUGAUCAAUCAAAUUUAGAAAAGAAUGCACUUUAUUUCGAGGGUGAACCAUCAUUCGCAUUUAACUUGUUGCUAGUGUCAAUAAAUUUCUCGUCACAAAGCAUUGUAGUUGGACAUCAAAUCCAUGCAUUGUGCUGAUUAUUAUACAAAACACUACUAAAAUAGAGUACAUGAAACCAAUGUGUAAGAAGAGUCUUGUGUUGUAUUAAAACUUUGAGCCACUAACAAGUGCAAUAGAUAAGCUCAUGAACAUGAUGUGACCUAUUAGAUCCCAUUUGGAAUUUAACUCUAUUAGCAUUUUCAAAUUCCCAAUUGAACUUGGAAGCCUCUCCAAGACUAGCAAAAGUUCAAUGAAGCCUCUCCAAUGACUAUAAUGAUUAGAAAAAUAUACAUUGACUCCCCCCUAUCUUAAGUAUGAAAGUUCUCUAUUUUAGAUAAUGUCUUUUGGAGGUGUGGCUCUUCAUUCUCUUGGUUAAUGCUUGUGGAUUAUCUAUUACAAAAGAAAAGAAAGAGGCGAAAAUAUAAGAACUUGUGGACGACAUGAGAUUCUUCCAUGUUAAAUUUUGAGAAUUGGGAAAAAAGAGAAUUGCCACACCUCUAUUCAUUUGAAAUUAAACAGUUUGGGUCAUUAUUUUAGAUUUACCUUGACAUUGGAUAAUGUCAAACCAAGUCCAUUUGCAAUUGGAAUCAUUUUUAAAUAUAAUUAAGAAUUGUUACACCUCCUCUUCAACUUUUGUGAAUCCAACUUAAGAGCCAUGCUUUACCCGGAAAACAAAUUAGACAUGCGUUUACUGAUGUGGAGUAUACAUCUUCUUCAUGUCACAAUUUUGCAUUGGUUACUGUCAUAGAGGUGAUGCCAUAAGUGCUAAGAUACUUUCAUGCACAUUGUAACAGCUACUUCGUCUGAUAUAAUGAAGUUAGCGUUCUCCUGCGUGAAGAGUGGGCAUCAACCAAUUUCAAACACAGUAAGACAAAAACAGCAAUUUAUAAGGUAUCUCAUAUAGUUCACCACAUAAUAUUGACAAAAUAAUGCACUUGGAAUUUAUAUAAUUUGACUUGACCUCACUAGGUAAGUUAAUUAGCAAUUCAAAGCCACUGAAACGUCUAAACCAAACCAAACCAAAACAAAGAAGAUCUGAACAAGGGUACUCGCAGAACUAUAUCACUAGUCAACAUGCAAAGUGCACAUGAGAAGAAGAUUUGCAUAAACCUCCUUAUAAUUGAUAUGUAUAACAGAAUAGGAAGCACUUCUUAUCAGAAAAAAUGUACUCGAGAGAGUAGGUGUCCAUUCUUUUUUCUCGUGCAGAAAUUUGCCAAGUUUGAUCAAACAACUCCAUGACGUGCUGAGUUCCCAAAUCUCCCGUGGUGAAUGCCUACCCGAUCAGACUGAAUUGAGGUCAUACAGCAAUCCCUUUUUAAGGCAGGAAGUUCAUGUCUGACUUUCCCUUCCAUCUUGGUAGUUUGUAGAUGUAUUAUCUCCGUAAGAUGGAGAUUCUUGGUGUUUGUCCGUUAAGACUAGCAUGCGAAUCGAACAAAGUCAACCCCAAAAUCAUGCACGCUUACCAAUUAGUCGGGGGUUCACACCAAUAGCUCUCACAAUACUUUCUCUUCAUGUGAAGUCCUCUAACCGAGAUACACUCCUUUCAUCACUUAAUUCGAAUCAUUUCACUGUUCCCGCCGCUCCAUGGCUUAUCGCAGCAUCAUUAUUUGGACUGCCCUUUCCAGUGAUCUAUCUUGUGCUUAUUAGACUCCUCUGGAAGAAAUCUUUGAACGGAACAGCAAAAACAACGAUGGUAGCAACUGUCACCACACACAGGGCAACCUCAAGUGCGUCAAUUGUUUUGCGCUUAGCAGAAGUGGUCCACCUCGGCUAAACAACAAUCAUUGAGCUGCCGAAUCAGAAUCCGAAGUGACGAUCUGAAAUAAAAAUGGAAGGAGAGAGUCGGAGGGUGAUGGUGGGAUAUUCGGAGUAGUAUCAGAGUCGGUGUUGGAAACUGGUGGAAGCAGAGGAGGGUUCUUUGCGUCUUUCCGUAUUUUUGUUUUAAUUAGUUUCUCGAUUUUCCUUUUUAUCUUUUGGGGUUUGGGUUUUUCCUUUCGGUUGUUCUUUUCAUUUUUCGCAACACGCGAGUGGCGCGAAGAUUUCCCGCCAGCAAGAGAGGGGGCCAAAAUUGUAUUUUCGUUUCCCCUACCGCAGAAUUGAAGGCAGCAGCGUCGGCUUCCGCGCGAGAUGAGGCUCGCGCCUCUAGGAUCGGAGGUGGUCUGACCUGCCCUUGCUGCCUGACGCAACCGAGUCUCGAAUCGAUGGUCUGCGACUUUUUCCUCCGUAUAUUAAGAGAGUAGAGAGGGAAAAUCAAACGUAAUUUCCCUCCCUGACGUUUUCGCUGUGGAAGAUUAAGUUUGAACCAAAACUACUCAAUUUACACGUACGUAUACAGGCCGGUCAUUGCUGUCUUACCGCGUGCUAGAAGCCACGAAAUAUCUCCGUAUGAGGUAGCAAUAUAUGCAAGAUACAAGCUCGCCAAGGAUUCACUCACAAUGUGGUUCGAAUUUGUCAACUCUGGAAAAAUAGUAUGACCAGCCUAUCGUUAAGUCAUCGCGUUCGAGGAGGGGCUACAAUUUUUUCACGUUCAUUCUUCUUUCUUUUUCAACUCGUUUCAAGUGAAUGAGUCGUGUAUGAAUUUGAUAAAAGCAUGAGAGGUGUAUAAAUCUGUUUCGUGCUUAUUAGCACCUAAGUUUGAUGAGUGAUUGAUUUAUCAACGCUAGCUAUAAAUGAAGGGAUUUUGGGAUUGUUCUCUACAAAAAGUUAUUGUUACACCCUUCACGCUCUUGAAUCACUCCUUGUUCUUCACUUCCACUUGUUGUUUAGUGUACUAAUUUCUUUGUACUUUUUGAAUAACGCAAAUUUUUACAUUAAACUUGAAUCUGAAAAUAUUUGACUCAAGAAGCUUGCCAUCGUAAUGGAGUACUCAAUUGCAAUUUCAUAUGCCUCCACCAAUAUAAAUAAACAAAUGAAUUAUAUCAAUUUUAAUUUUUGUGCAUAGUAACUAAGUAAUUGAACCGUAGAACACCCAUUUGUCCAAAAGAACAUCUCAUUCUCUUGCGCUAAAAUACAAUAGCAGGCAUCCCUAUGCAGUCUUUUUCAAUGUUUCGAUUUUAGCAAAACUUACUUCAGUGCCCUCACGCACACGACGUAAAUCACCGAAUGUGACAUUAAAAAUGCCCACCAACAAAAUAAGAUCCCAGGGGCAAAUCAAGAAAGAUCGUGAAGAAUAUGGAGUGGAGCAAAUCGCAUUUGAGGGUGAUGGUUGUUCUGACAUGCUUGAUUGCCACAAAGUGAGGCAAUACUCAAUUAUGAGUUAUGAUAGUUUCAAGUUUGAUAGGUCAAUAAAUGUAUGUGUUGAUUGGCAAUGUCUGAUUCAUAAGGGCAAUGAACUUGAGGGAAGCGUCUGCAAACAUUCAUUAGAGAGUUUAAGUCUUUUGAGAUGAGAAAGCUGUACAAUAAAUGGUGAUGUGGUGUUGGUCCAGCCUAAGGACCUUAAAGAAAGGCCUCGGUUAUCAGAGCUCCCGUUCCGGGUCACAAAAACAGCAGGGUAAACCGCCGGGGGUUUUCCAAGGUGUUUAACCACACCACCCUCGGGCCUGAUAGGGCUCCACUUCCCCACCAUUGGGUGGGAGCGCAUCCCUGGAUGAAGGGACCGUUGUCGAAGAGGACAACUAUAAAGACACCGGUUGUUUAACCUAUUGAUCCACCGGGCAAUAGCAUCUUCCACAAGCUUAGACAGGUCUGAGGAGACUUUUGGCAUCCCAAAGACAAAUCUCUUAGGCUUUUCAAGUUCGAAAGAUUGGAAAUGGCAUCAUCAGCUCGGUAUGAAUAUAUAGACGGAGAAAAAUUUCUAGGAGUCUUGGUACUUGGGGUAUUUCAGCACAUGUUAGUUUUUAAAAUCUUCCAAGAUGAAUAUCUCCAGAUAUCAUCGGAAUUUUUUAUUAGCAAAUUUUCACUAAGCUCUGCAUCUAUUUUUCUAGCUUUUCCUGCUUCCAUUUUGCACUAGUUAUCAUGCUUAUGACAAAGAACCUCAUCUUCAAUACUUUCAAAUACUUCUUUUUAGCCUGCUCAUAUAUCGAGUUGGUCAUUCACAAGUUUAAAACCUAUGUAUGGGCUUCGCUCUAAGUAGCUACAAAAUUGGCAAGACCAAUUCAAGCAUUCCCCCAUGAAAAAAACAAUGAUAGGCUUGAAUCUGGUAUAAGCAAACUACUGCCCAUCCCCUUUCCCCAGAAGCAGCCUGUUUCGAGUGACACAAUUAUAAUCACACAGCAAGAUCGUUCGACCCAUGACAAACAUAAUGACCCAGACUUCAGAUAUAUGUAAGUUACUUGCAGUCACUUUGCAAUGCUUGCUGUUAUAGUUGACAUGACAUGGUGGACUACUUACCGCACAUGAAACCUGGAAACGGUGUGCUUUGAGAGAUGGGAAACUUCUGCCGCCGACAGGGAGGGAGACGGACCUGACAUUCGAUAUAUUGCAGACAGGUACCGGUUAAAAAUUGUCAAGAACUAGUUUUCAGAGAUGCGGUCUCAUUCAAAGUGCAGAACCUCAACCGGGUCAGCCAAGCUCUCUGCCUAAAUUGCACAGAAUAUUUGGUAAAUUUACAUUUUGCACCCAAGUUUUCCGGAUAGUGGCAAAUUAUCCCCGUCGUUUCGAUAUUUGCAACUUGUUAACUGACUUUUCGAAAUUCGGAGGCCAUGUGCCCUCAAACGUUGACUUGGGCAAUUUUUUUUUUUUCACAUAUCUGACAUCGUGACUUGCUAUGGAAGAUUAAUUGGACAUUUAUCAUUUAUGUAUGUGAAAUAAAGAAAAAUAUAGGGAGUACCCAAAGAUAUAUUUGAAAACUAUAUACCGAUAUGCAUUUGGUGUUGAUUCCGGUCAAAUUAUUGCCGAAGCCGGUCACAUGCUCUCACAUGUAAUAUGUUUUUGAAUUUAAUAUUCUACAUUUUCAUAUCUAUUUACUUAUAUGAUGAAUUUUCCUUUCGUAAUCAGUCCCAUGCUAUCGCGUGGUCGCAGCUCCAAGCAAAAUUUCACUAGAGUCAACACAAGGGGACACAUUGAUACGGACUUCUACCUUUCGGGGGCUAGAUUGCAAAAAUUGAAACGCCAUUUGACAAUAUGCAACAAACUCAAAAGUUAGAAAAUACGUAGUUUGCUCCCAGAGAAUUUACUGAGUUUCUGGACCGCUGGAUCAGUAGCAGGAAGCCAAAACCGAGUAUUGCCGGCCUGAACUCAUUAUUAAUAUCAUGCAGUUCGUUCUAAGCAUCUGAAAAGCUCAUUUGGCACUGCUGUAUCUUUUCGAUGCCGUUUUGAAUGCAUGAAAAACUCAGCAUUUACCACAACUCAAUGGACAUAAAGGCCUCCAGCACCAGAGCAAAAGCAGAUUCAUCCUAGUCCGGGAAUAGUUAACGUCAAGCUGAUAAUGUGCCUUGAAAAUCUAAAACUGGAGGAAAACAAAAAGUAUAGCACUCGCAUCCAAUAUCUAUCAUAAAACUACGUCCAGCUGCCACAGCGAUCGAGCUUCAAAACCCGUCGUAAAGAAAACAUGAGUCGAGCAACCUUGAACCGACUGAUACCCAUUUUCGUUCCUGUGCUGGCUUCAAAGCGAAUGAGGCGCGAGCUGGUUUUGCAGUGAAGGUGGCCAUUCCGAGCUCCGAUUCAACAGAAGGUGAAGGAAAUGAAUGAGAGAGAGAGAGAGAGAGAGAGAGAGAGAGAGAGAGAGAGAAGAGAGAGAGGGAGAUCACAGAAGGAGAACGCGAGAAGUUUGUGAGAGAGAGGCGAUGUAUAUAUAGGGGAGAGGGAGGGAGCGGGACCUUGUAGGACGGUGUUCGUUUCAAGUUAUCUGAAAAGCAAACAUUUUAAAUGAGCACUUUGCCAACGUUACAAAAAAGAAAUUCAAAGGGAGCAAAAGAACAUGAGAGAAAUUGGCAAUUUGCCACUUUAAGGACGGUUAAGAAAUUUAGGCAAGUGCACUUUUAAUUGAAAGGCCUAGUUAACUUCUUCCUCAAAUUUCACCAUUUUAUCCUGAUUUUUUCUUUUGCCAAUUUUACAUUUUUCUCUCUCUUUAAAGCUAAAUUGUAUUACAGUAUUAACAUAACCUGUAGAUGAGCGCCAAAAUGAGAAAUUUAAAAAGUGAGAUAAAAUGGCAUUUUGGCUUUUACAUAUAUAGAUAUAAAAGCCGGUUUCUUUCUUCUUCUUCUUCUUCUUUUUUUUUUUUCAGUGAUCUAUAAUAAUCAAAACUAGAUGUAUUUCAUACUGAUGUGGCUACACUGUGAUGUAUUGAAAUACAUGUGUACGUGUUUGGCAAUGCAUCUUUGAAAGUUGCUGUGCUAUAGACAGCUACGAUGACUACAGCUACGAUGACUAAUAUGUUUGAUCGCUGUAGUUAUUAGAAUGAAGAAAAGACCUUUUAAUAUUGUUGCAGAAAUAUUACCAACGUUUAUAUCUGUGUUACUGGAACUUUUGCAGUAUACCAUUUUCACCAUAUGAUGAUGAUGAUAGUUGAAUCCGGAAUACACAUUUUGAGAGGACUUUAUUUCCAACUGAAAUACCAAAGUAAUCCAUGUUUAUACAUGAAAUUGCAGAAGAAAAUAUGAGGCAGUACAACGCUGAACCCUUGAAAUGCACAAUCUACUACAGCCCAAUGAGGCUGCAACCAUAUGUAUCCAAUUGCAAAGGGCCACAGGACCGACCGUACAAUCACACAGGAAAGGAUAUCCCGCUUAGAAUUGCUCUCGCCCCGUCUUCCUCAACAUCAUAUCCUGUUGAACACAGUAGCAAUCUGUCCCUGUGAGCUUAACUAUUCAGAUUUUGAAAGGAUGUAUUCUGCACCAUGUCUUGGAGAUACAGCAAGAUUGGCAAGAUGCCAGGUGAUGAGGAUAAAGAUAAAAAGUUCAUACUACUCGCCAUGCAGGUGAUGGGGGUAAAGAUAAGCGCAUCUCUCUCUCUCUCUCAAUUGUGCAAACUUCUCUCCUCUGUUAAUUUACUACUGAUGCUAAGUUCUGCCUGCAAAGUUCUGGCAAGUUUUUUGCCAUUAUCUUCUUUGAAAGAUCAAAAAGAAAAGUGGGGUUCAGAGGUGGAAAAAAGAACAGCUUGAAGAGAAACGGAAAAGCGCAGACUUGCAACAGAAGGCACGGAAAGCUGAUUGCUUUAAGAUGCAUGACAACCAUGCAGAUGGCCAAUGUGGUCUUCUACACCCAAAAAACAAUUGUUUCUCGUGGCCCGAAAUCGUAUUUUAUAUGAUUUGCAUCCGAAUAGAAGAAUAAUAUCGUAAUCUAAUAUCAUCUACCGCCUGCAAAGUUGCUAUUAUCUUCGUUGAAAAUUCAAAAGAAGGGGAGAGGCAGAAAGAAAAACAACAUAUGAAGAGAAACGGAAAGUGCAAACUCUCCAUAGAAGGCACAGGAAAGCAGUUCGCUUUAAGAUGCUUGAUAAACUACUAAGAAACGAUUUCUUGUGGUCUCUAAUGAAACGUUAUAAGAUUCUACAUCAAUGAUAAUCGUACUUUGCGCUCCACUACUGCCUGCAAAGUUGCUAUUAUCUUCUUUGAAAACUCAAAAGAAGGGGCAAUGUAGAAAGAAAAACCGCAUCGAAGAGAAACGAACAUCACCAACUCUCAACAGAGGGCACAACAAAGCUGCUUGCUUUAAGAUGCAUGAUGAACUACUAAUGAACAAUCAUUUCACGUGGUCUCUGAUGAUAUUUUAUAAGAUUUACAUCCGAAUACCGGAUCGAUAUCGUACUUUAUGCUCCACUACUGCCUGAAAAGUUGCUGUUAUCCUCUUUGAAAACUUCAAAGAAGGGGGGAGAGGCAGAAAGAAAAACAACAUUGAAGAGAAACGAACAUCACCAACCCUCAACAGAAGGCACAAGAAAGCUGCUUGCUUUGAGAUGCAUGAUAAACUACUAAUAAACAAUCAUUUCACGUGGUCUCUGGUGAAAUUUAUAAGAUUUAGAUCCAAAUACAGCAUCAAUAUUGUACUUUAUGCUCCACUAUUCCCUUGAAAGUUGCUAUCAUCUUCUUUGAACGCUCAAAAGAAGGGGACAGGAAGAAAGGAAAACAACAUCGAAGGGAAACGAACAUCGCAAACUCUCAACAGAAGGCACGAGAAAGCUGUUUGCUUUAAGAUGCGUGACGACCAUGCAUAGAGUCAUUGUUGAAUUCCUACUUAAAACCAAUUAUUUCUCUUACCUUCUGAUGAGAAUUUAUAACCAUUACAGCCAAAUGGAGGAAUAAUAUUUUACUUUAUUCUUCAGUACUAUAAUAUAUGUACAUAUCUGUUCAACGCAACCAAAAAGAUCAUGUUUCUCACACAUAAAUAGGACAAGUUUUUUGAGUGUCUGAAAUUUUUACAUUCAAAAUGUUAAUGUUUUGCAUGGAAACAUUGUGACUUGAUGCUGGAGAAUUGAAAUUCAAUUGUAAACCUAUCGUAUGAAUUCAAAUUCAAUCCCAAAUAUUUUAAUUCAAACAAUGUUGUUUUAAACCUUUGAGUGAAAAUGUAAUCAGGUCCUCCUGGUCAAGUCUUGCCUAAAUGGCAGUCCAAUCAUUUGUCGUUGUACGUGUCCCGACUAAUGAUUUGACGUGGACAAAUUUACUUAAAACGACGCCAUUGUUGCUCAACUCCACAAGCCGUCAACCUUGCCUAGAACCGCCCUCUCUCAAGUUGAUUUCUAUCAACAGUCACAGCUUAGCUAGAGCUGGCACCUCCAAAUGUGGAGGCUCGGCAGUCGGUCACCAUGCCCAUCGGGCUCCUUGGCCCCUCCAUGGAAGAUGAUUGUACAACCCUCAAAUUUUUAGUGAAGUUUGGCCCCUUCCAUGCCAUGCAAGAUGAUUGUAUAACCCUUAUUUUUUUUUUUUUAUUUUGUGAUGUAGAACUUUUUGUUUAAUUUUUAAAUUAUUUUUUUCUUUCCUUUUUUCCUUCCUUCUUCUUCCUCCUCUAGUUGGUCACGGGACCUUGAUGACUAGCUAGAGAACAGUUGACAAGGCCAACCUCGCCCAACCAUCGCAAGGCUCCCUCAAGACUGGCGAGGCCACCCUUGUCGGCCCUCCUCUCUAGCCAAUCACCGGCUAUUAUCGAGGCCUAACGAGAAGAGGGAGAAUAAGAAAGGAAAAGAAAAAAAGAAAAAGAAAAUGACCUUCAUUAAAAACUGUUCCUGAGGACAAAUAAGUAAAUUCUUUCUAGUUCAUGUUUUCGUUCUAAAUCUAUUUUUUGGCUACUGAUCUAUUUCAGGAAAUAAAAAAAAAAAAUUUAAUUAACGUUAUCAAAUAAUUUUUAAAAAUUAACUAACGUUAUCAAAUAAUUUUUUUUUUCUGUUUCGGAGAAUGAAAUAACAGAAAAAUAGAGAAAUAAACUGAAUUUGCAAUUCUUCCAACUCAACCUAUGCCUAUUAUAAGUUUUCUUUUCUUUUAAUAAUUCUUCCUCUCUUCUGUCUCCUCUCUUCAUCGGUAUAAAAUGGGUAAUCAGGGAUGGGUGGCUUGUGUAGUGGAAUAUAAACCGUAUUCCCAAUGGUCGACACCACGAAUUUGGGUCCAAAGUCAAAUUCACCGGGGGAAGUAAACUGACCUCUUUCACCAUUAAAUCACCACGCUGAGUGUUGAUUUUAACUCCAUAAAAUCCUCUGACACGUCUGCCCCUCGGGACCUUCCGGAUUAUAAAAGCAAGAGCAAAAGUCAUAUCCUAUGAUUUCCAAUCUUUACCGACACAGAGAAACGGAUUCGCACAUAGUUAAUACGAGAAAACAGCUAUCCUAUACAUUGGCAUUUAGUUGAUAAAAAAGGUUGAUCAAUUUAUGGAUGACAUGCAGCGACUUGAAUUCCAUCCACACAUUAGAUAACGUGCAGCCAAGGCUAUGUUAAAGCCGCAAUACAUGUAUUAGACACUAUGCCAUCUCAAUCCACCAAGAGAAAAGGUAUGCAUUUUCGACUCCAGCAGAUGAGAUAUCCUUUGUGAUGGUGGUCUGGGAAGAUGAAUCUUGCUUCUGGUCUCCAUAAUUUGGCAGCAAUGAUGGUGAUUCCACUGGACUGUUAGGACUACUUUUAUCUUCCUCUCCUCUAUGUAUUUACCACUUUCUUUAUCAAAUUUAAAAUUUAAAAGAAAACUUCUCAGGUUACCUGACCCAAAAGAUUAUGGAACACAAAGCAGCAAAAUCUACCAUGUCAGCGUAAUGUCCUCUUCACCUGUAUCAAAAACUUGUCUCGACACUGCAGGACAGGUGGAGCUACCUGCUGUGCUUACAUGGUAACGGCAUUAAACAGAAGAUAGGAUGAAGGGCCUACUCUAAUUCUUUCAAAGUAUCAGGACAUAGCUUCUGAGGCCUAUCAUGCUUUUCCUUUGUCUCAAUGUAUAUUAGGCUCCUAUACUAGGCAUUCAAAAUCUUAUUCGAAGAUGAUCCUUACUGCAAUGUGACUGACAUUACCUUAAGCAGUUCAUAUCCCAGUAAUGAUACAGUCUUACAGACAUGUCAUGGCAAAGAAAUUGCAAAAUAAUCAUUCAGCUGAUUCAAGUACUGUAGGCAUGUCCCUCCUCACAAGUAUGUCAGUGGCUUUAGUAAGUAUGUGAACAUGAUGUUUCACUGACUUGAGCAGAACAAUUUCGAAUCAGAUUGUCCAUUUGGCUUGAUGAUGCCUACAUUUGGCUGCACACAGAAUUUCUUCAGAGACGUAGCCUUAGCCUAGAAUGUUUUGGAUAUCCAGUAUAGAGCUCAUAAUGUUUCUCCACAAUAGAGAGUUCUUAAUGCGCUGAUGUAUUACUCUGAAAAUUAAAUUACAUCAAGAGAAUACAAGAUUGAAAGGAAAUUGUCCACCCGCCAUAGCCUAAAAAAUAAAACUUGAUCACGGUGAAAGAAAAGGUCCAAAGAAUAUUCACCUUGAAAGCAACAUACCGAUCAGUCUUAUUGCCUAGCGGAAUGAGCAUGAGCUUUGUUUGCUCAACUCAAUUGCAUAAACACGGAGAAGAGGCUUCAGAUGAAAGAAUUUAAAGAGAAAGGGGGCCCGACAUGAGGACAGGAUGUGAUGAAAUGGACCAUCUUACAUUUUCUUUGAUAUAAUGCAGUAAUGCAAUCUCAUCUUGUUCAUUCAUUUUCUCUACUAAUCAUUCUCUCGGUCAUUUGGUUACAACAACCAUUCACCUACUUAAUCUCCAGAAAGAAAUUUACCGCAGAAGUCAUUCUAAGAGUUUGUGGUGUGAGGAUAGAGACUACGCAAAAAUUAACAAACCUGACCAAAUAUUUGAAAACAACACAAGUAAACAAAUUUGAAAACGGGGCGACCAGUGACUGAUUCAUACAUGCCAUUGAAGCUUAUGCCUUAAGAUAUUUCCUUUACCAUUUUAUAUGAUGUUGAACCGCAAAUUCUCAAGCAAAUUAUUGUAGAACGGAGAACUAUCAUCCCCUUCACUUAUUGCCUAAUAAAACAGGUGGCAAGCAAUGCAAAUUUUAACGUGGCACCAAAAAUGAAAAUGAACCAAAUGUGCAGCACUAUAUAUACUCACAAAUUAAACUCAAGUUCAUGAGGCCGGAUCUCCAACAGCUCUUCGGCCAUGAUGACAACUAUAGCACCAAUCCACAUAAAACGACAGGUCACAUGGCAGGGUAACGACAAUCAAGCAAAAAGCUCUGCAUGAAGCUCAAUUUCAAGCACCCAUUUCGUAUAAAUCUGAUCACGCGCUGUCUCUAGCAGAUUCCUCAUUUCAAACACCAAAAUUGCACAUGAUCACCAAACACUUGACGGUCAAAAAUGGCUCAGCACCCAAAUUACGAACACAAUCCAAGAGCAGUUCAGGAUUUACCAAAAAUCAGAGCACUACAUUUGGCAAUGAAAGCUUAACCAUCGGGGGAGUAUCUUACAGGUCAGAAACUUCCUUUGGCAGUGAAAUCUUAAUCUUCAAGGGAGUAUCUUACAGGUCAGAAUCUUCCUUUUGAUGGAUCCCAAUAAUGAGAAAAUCAAACUCCAGUGCAAGUUCACAACGAAGGACAUGACAAUAAUAUCAGCUAAGGGAUAUGCCAUAACUCGCACAACCCGAGAGAAAUCGCAGGAAAGACCCCAAGUCAGCAGGCCUAAAGUAUCUCUAACCACCUCUCCAAGACACAACACUAACAUAGCAGCAGCAGUACCAAACUCUAGUAGUCCCUGAUGACAGUUGGGUUGACUCUGACUUGGCAAUAACAACUUCGUGCCAUUUCACUCAGUAAAUGAACACAUAAUCUUCAAUACAUGUGGCACUACAAAUUCGUAAGGACCAAUGUAGUGGGAGUAGCAUUGACCCAAGAAUCUGAGAGAGCAAACAUGUUUUCCAUUAUUUGAUUAUUCAUACAAUAAAUUUAUGACUGAAUUUGCGAUUCUCCCAACUCACCUAUGCUUAUUAUGAGUUUUUUCCCUCCUUCCUUUUAAAUAUUUCUUCUCCUCUACUGUCUCCUCAACUCAUCUGUAUAAAAUGGGCAAUCAAGGGUUGCUUGUGUAAUGGAAGGGAAACGGUCCUCCCAAUGAUCUUACUGGUGCAAGUAGAUCAAAUACAAAUCAACCAGGGGAAGAAAAAUAACCUCUUUCAACUUUGUAUCACCCCACUGAGUGUUGAUUUUAACUCCUUAAAACCUCUGACACAUCCAACCCUUCAGGAUGCUGGCAUCAAAAGACAAUCCUUCUGGAUUAUAAGAGUGAGAACAGAAGUCAUAUUCUAUCAUGAGUAAUAGAAAUGGAUACAUGUACAGUUAAUAUGAGAAAAAAGCUAUCCUAUACACUCGCAUUUAGUUGCUAAAGAGGUUGAUCAAUUAUAGAUGAUGUGUAGCAACUUGAUUUCCAUUUACAUAAAUAACAUGCGGCCCAGCCAAUGCUGUGGCAAAGCCCCGAUCCAUGUAUUAGAUACAAAGCCAUCUCAACCCAGAAAGACAAUAAAGUGACAUAUUGAUGUUUUCUGGCAGUCAUACCCUGAGAAAAGGUGAUGCAUUUUCGACUCCAGCAGGUGAGAUAUCCUUUGGGAUGGUAGUCUCGGAAGAUGAAUCUUGUUUCCGGUCUCCGUAAUCUGGCAGCCCUGAUGGUGAUUCCACUGGACUGGUUAGGACUGCUUUUAUCUUCCUCUCAUCUAUGUAUUUAUCGCUUUCUUUAUGAAAUUGAAAAUUCAAGAGAAAAUUUCUUGAGUCGCUUGACCUGAAAGAUUAUGAAACAUAUAGCAGCAGAACCUACCAUGUCAGCAAUAGUGUCCUCUUCACCUGUAUCAAAAACUUGUCUCUGCACAGCAGGACAGGUGGAGCUACCUGCCGUGCUUACAUGGUAACUGCAUCAAACAGAAGAUGGGAUGAAAGGCCUACUCCAAUUCUUGCUGCCUAGCGGAAUCAGGCAUGAGCUUUGUUUACUUAACUCAACUGCAUAAACACAGAGAAGAGGCCUAAGAUAAAAGAACUUAAUGGGGCAUGACAUGAGAGCAGGAUGUGAUGAAAUGGACCAUCAUACAUUUUCUUUGAAGAUAUAAUGCAGCAAUGAAGUCUCAUUUUGUGCGUUAGUUUUCUCUACUGAACAUUCUCAGUCAUUUGGUUACAGCACUCACCUACUUUUAUCUCUAGAAAGAAAUUCACUCACAUGGCACUAUAAGAGUUUGUGGUGUGAAGAUAGAAACUAUGCAAAAAGAAAGAACCUGACCAAAUAUUCGAAAACAGCACAAGGAAAAGAACUUGAAAAACAGGGCGACCAAUGACCGAUUCAUACUCGCCAUUGAAGCUCAUGCUUUUAGAUAUUUUUUUUACCAUUAUUUAUGAUGUUGAACCACAAAUUCUCAAGCAAAUUAUUGUAGAAUAGAGGAACAUCAUCCGCUUCACUUAUUGCCUGUAAAACAGGAGGUAAGCAAUGCAAAUUGAAUGUAGCUCCAAAAUAAAAAUGAACCAAACGCACAGCACUAUAUAUACUCAUAGAUAAACUUGACUUCAUGAGGCUGGAUCUCCAAGAGCACUUCAGCCAUGAUGAUGACUAUAUUGCUGAUCUACAUGAAAUGGUGGAUCACAUAGCAGGGCAACAACAAUCAAGCAAAAAGGUCUUUAUAAAGCUCAAUUUCAAGUACCCAUUCAUAUAGGGUGCGUUUGGUUUGGCUUUUGGAGAAAGCCUUUGGAUAAUGCAAAGGCUCUUAGCCUAAAGGAGUUUUGUGAAAUGCAAAGACUGUUUGGUAAUUUGCAAUUUUAAAGUGACUUGGGAAGUAACAUUGGGAAAAUACUAUUUGAUAAGCAUAUAUUUAAAAAGUCUUUUGAUGAAAAUCAAUUUUUUAAAAAAUUAUUUAAAAAAAAAAAAACACAACGAUGGCAACUUUUAUAUUUUCACAUUACAAGUGAUGUAAAAGAGACAUUAACAAGUUCAAAAAUAAAAAAAUUACAUGAGAAGUGUAAAAAAUAAUAGGGCCCUCAGAUAUACAAACAGUAAAGAAAGUAUAAUGACCAAUGGGCUAAGUUACUGAGAAUAUAAAAAUAAAAUUUAGUUGUUUUUGAUGUCAUAUGGAAAGUCUUAUCUAAAACUGGCAUAUGAUAAGAAAUAUGUCUCUUAUUCAGCACUAAGACAAUUAGACAUAUCUUAGCUGCAACAUGACAGCACCAAGUCAUAUCUUGCUCUUUCUAAAUGGACAACUGAGCACCUCUUUGCCUUAAAUGACUCCAUCAAUUUCCCCAUGUCUUAGAGGUCAAAAAUACUAUGAGAAUGGACUGAACCGCCUAACACUUCCUCGAGAUUGAUUGCGGAGCGAGCACCACAUGAACACAUUCGUGAUGGCAACCAAAAUGAGCUUUUGCUCAUGUUCAAAGCCUAAGCAUGCAAGAAAAUUAAAGAGCUCCGACUCUUGAAGAGCAAUGGACUUCUUCUGUGAACCUCUGAUUGCUGACAAAUCGAGGAUUAGCCUUAAAAAACUGUUCCUCUCAUAAAUAUAAGUACAAUCACAACAUCUCAAUUCACAAGGCAGUGCAUGUAUUAAUAUACACAUCAUGGGUAUUCCAAAGAACUUACAAGAGAAGAUAACUCCUAGUAACUGCUGGGUACAAUGGAAAUGAACAUUCAAAGCCCAGGAUUAUUCCUGGGAAAAAUGGAAAAGUGGGGAACAACAGACUUUUACAUCACAUGAAGUAAGAACGACAUAAUGAGUGAAUUUAACCGUCCCAUAGAAUUCUAUUAGCAAUGGCAGUGUCCAUUGAUUCCAGUUCUUCCACGACUUUAGUCCUGGAAGGCCGCUCGUUAGGAGUCAUUCGGAGGCACUGUAAAGCAAGUUGUGCUAUUUGGAAUGCAGAAUCCAUAAAUGUAGGGUAUAGGGAUGGUAUAAAUUUGGUUCCCAUUUCUGGCAGGUUGCAACAUCAUGAGCGACCAGUUUCCUCUAAAAUAACCAGUAUUUCUUUUUCGGUUUCUGAGGAAGGGGAACAUCUGCAGAAAAUGAAAAGUUAUGUAGGCAAUGCAACUGUGGAUUCCAUGCCAAAUGAUUUAAGUAGCUAAAAGGGAAACACACCUCGUGUUUCAUAGAGGGGAUUAUAAUGAACCUCAUAUCCAGAAACUCAACCAAAGCUCUGCAUCUAUUGAAAGUAAGGUUAACAAAAGGAAAAACUUAAAAAGAAAACGGAGUUUCAAAAGACCAGUUGCUCAUUGAACAAAAGCAAAUGUAGAUCAAUUGCAAAUGUUUACAUCUAGGUUCUAAAUCAAUCAAUAUAUUUAAGUAGCUGUUCUAAGCAAGCAAAAGAACAAAUAUUUAAUUUCCGAGACGAAAAACAAGCAAAGCAUCACAAAGGAGGGUCUAUGCGUAUUUGUAUGCAAGCAACGCUCUUUUUUCCAAGACAACCAAGGAGUAAAAUAUACCCAUUUGGAAUUUUAACAAACCAAACCCAAGAACUUCACAUUUAUCACAUUGCACCUACUGACGAUUUGAACCACCAAAACAACUAUGAAGAAGAAGACAAGCAAGCAAUACCCUCGGCAGAGGGAACUUAUAAAUCCAAUUGCCAAACAAUAAUUAGGCUGCGAAUAUAAGUAUCAUCUAGGGGCUUUUGCCCUCCUUCAUGCUCUCCAACAACGACCAAAUAAGCAUUGAACAUCAGUGACUCACCGGAAUAGAUAACUUCAUCAUUCUUCAAAAUCCUGCAUUCCAACAGCUGCUUGCUGCCAUCAUACAGCAUUACCUAUCAUAUAUCCAACCAUCAAUCACAGCAUGGACUAAUCUACUUGAAGGCUUUAUUUGAUUUGGGCUUAAGGCCCAUCCGCCAAAGUUGGGCCUAGAAAGCCCGGCCCACGGGAAUAAGGCCCGUGGAAAGAGGGAGGUAUAAAAGGGAGGAGAGAGAGAGAAAAACAACAGUUGGUAAAUUGUACGUACGCUGUUUUUCUCUCAACGCUCUCUCCCUCUCUCCCGUUUUCUCCAAAAGCAAAACAGUGAAGCAAUUGAAGGAGUUUGCCUCCUCGGAUCGAACAAGGCUCGAUUUCUCUUCCUCUAACGGCGUCGGUGUCUAAUCUAUGGCAAUCAAGGUACGCUCGAAUCCGUGGUGUGCUUUACGAUCGGUGAUACGUGUCGUUUUCUUGGGCUUCGCUUCCGCAUUGAUUUAGGGGUUCGAUUUAGUGUCGAAUCCGGUUUUCGGGGAUCAGUAAUUCCCAACAUUGGUAUCAGAGCCCUGUUUCACGUUUUUCCCGAUCAAUUCUGAUGUUUUUGAUUGAGUUUUCGCGAAGAAACUUUCGGCCGUACGGAACUGGGCGAAAAUCCCGACACCCGAGACUUCUUCGGCCAUUUUCAUGAGUUUUCGAAUGUCAAAAACAAAUUCUGAAAGCACUGGGAUAAAGGCGACGUCGAGACGAGUCUGGAGAUGUCUCGAGCGCGGCCGGGAGACACCGCACGCGCCCACACGCGCCGCCGGAAGGCGCUGCGCGUGGGCGCGACGCGCCCGGAAGCGCUCGAUCACCAGGCACGUGCGGUACACGCGCCGGUCGGCGAAUCGGCGCGUGCGCGCCGCCGGCCGGCGAACCGGCACGCGCCGAUCCAUGGACCGACGGGUGCUGACGUCAGCAUGACGUCACCCAACGGUCAGUAACCGCUGGGCUGACGUCAUCGAUGACGUCAGCGAUGACGUCGGUUGGCCGGACGGCGACCCGACCCGCGCGAGACCCGACACGCGCGCGGCACGUGCCGGAUGACGUCUGCGUGACGUCAUCCUGCGCACGCGCACGACACGUGCCGUUGGUUCGCGCGAACCGGACCCACCGGCCCGACCGGUGCGACCGGUCCGACGACCGUUGACCGUUGACCUCCGUUGACCGCCGACGACCGUUGACUGGUGACGACCGUUGACCGUUGACCUUGGUUGACCGACGACCGUUGACUUUGACCGUUGACCCGAAAAAAAAAAAAAAGAAAAAGAAAAGAAUGUGUUUCUUUUUCAAUUAAGUCUAUAUGGAUUAUAAUGUGAUCCCUUAUUUGUUAUGCAUUUGUUGCAGGAACAAUGCCUCCCCUGAGGUUGCGCACACCUAUUCGCGCAGUUACCGAUGAAUAAAAGGAAAGGCUGUCUAAGUUGAUAGCUGAGCUGACUGAUCAUCGAUGGGAGAGUGGUGACUUAAUUGAUCACAUCCUUGAAGUCAACGGGAAAAUUCAACAGGUCAUAUGGAAUGGUCGUCCUAUGUCACAGUCAGAGAUGGUGCGAUUUUUCAUAAACACUCUUCCACCUGAAUGGCAAGAUGUGUUGAAUCGCAUAUGAGAUGUCAACGGAGCUGCUUCCUAUAAGAAAAUUGUGAUGGAUUUUGUAAAUGAAUAUUAUUGUAUUGUUUCGAGGGAAAAGAUCAAGAAAUUGAACAAAAGAGGAUCUUUCCCAGUUCGUGUGCUGACUUGGUGUUAGUUGUAUUGGCUGAUAUAUGUUAAGUGUGAUUUGUGGACAUAUUAUGUAAUGAUUACUACCUAAUUGUGUUAAUUGAAAGCAUUAUUGUUUUUAUUAGAUGUUAUAUUAUAUAUUGCUUUCUGUUAUUGCUGGUUGCUGUGGGUAAUUAGUUAUGGGUAGUUUUAGAAGUUUUUGUAGCUUCAUAGAAUUGACUUUGCAUAAGACAAUUAUAUUGAUGAUAGUUUUAAGUUAGGAUUUUGGAGGAUAAUUGGAAACAUAGUGACCUUUUGAUUCUGAAACCUUACUUGAAAUUAUUUAUUAAUAUGAUGGGUCUAUGUAAAUAGGGAUGCAUAAAUGAUAGGCAUUAAUAAUUUGUGCAUGUAUGUCUGAUGUGUUCAGAUCGAUAUUUUCAGCAACUAAGAACGUUAUUGCUGAUAUGAACGGCAACAAUUGUGAAAUAUUGAAUAUGAAGAUUCAAUAUGUGCUGGAAAAGCAAAGAAGCAUUAGAAGCUCUUGACCAUAUUAUGGAAGAUCUAGAGGAUACUGUGCGCCACCUUGAGCUAGUAGAGGACUGGCUAUCGGCAUUUGAGCCGAAAAUAGACAUAGGCUAUGCUGAUUCUAGCUCAGAAAGGGCUUUGAGCUCUAAGCGCAAACGUAUUGAUUCGUUCAAUAUGUGGGAAAGCAAAGGAUCAAGUCCUUAUUGCAAGAGAUCAAGAGUUAACCAACACAAGAGAGGAAAACGUCAUCAAGUGAAGAAAAUGUCAAGGGUGAGGUGUUACAAUUGUAACAAGAAUGUCACUAUGCUCGCAAUUGUUGUGAGCCGAAAAAGGUAAACACCUCUUGUACAUUUGAGAACUUUGAUUAUGUGUCAAGUUCUGCAUUAUUAGCUGAAUCCAAUCCUUUGUGGACUGUAGAUUCAUGAGCAACAGACGAUGUAGCAAAGGAUAAAGGAUCCUUCGUAGAAUUCCGACGAUACCAACUAGAACUAAGUGGAUCUAUGUGGGAAACAGCUCCAGAGCUGAAAUUAAAGGGAUUGACACCUGCCAAUUGAACAUGCGUGGUGGACGAAACUUGUUCCUACAUGAUGUUCUAUAUGCUCCGGAGAUUCGUCGAAAUUUAAGUGUCUGUUUUGAUGCAUUGGUUAAGCUUGGUUUUUAGUAUGAACUUCCAUAAUAGAUGUGUAGAUUUGUAUUUGAAUACAAACUACUAUGAUUUUUGGUCACUUUCUGGAUGGUUUUAUUGUACUAAAUGUUGACUGUGGUGAUGUCAAUAUGUUAUUCCCUUGUUUCACGUCUUCUACUUUAUAUGAUAAUGAUGUGAAUAUGGUGGCAUGCUAGACUUGGUCAUAUGGGCCAACAACAUAUGAAAAGACUAGCCAAAGAGGGCUUGUUGGGCAAUAUUGAAAAAGUCGAUUUGCUCAUAUGUAAGCAUUGCCUAGAAGGGAAAACAACAAUGAAACCAUUUGAAAAAGGUAAAAGAGCUGAAUUUCCUCUGCAUUUAAUCCAUUCUGACGUCUGUGGUUCAAUGAAUAUGAGAGGAAGGCAAGGGGCUGUUUGUUUCAUCACUUUUAUAGAUGAUUCUACUUGAUUUGGAUAUGUCUAUUUGAUUUCUCAUAAAUCUGAAGCAUAAGUUGUUUCAAAAAGUUUAUGAACCUGGUAGAGAAUCAAUUAGACAAGAAAAUAAAAGUAUUGAGAUCCGAUCGAGGUCAAGAAUAUUUAUCUGAUGAGUUCGGAAAAUUAUGUGAUGAAAAAGGAAUAGAAAGACAGUUGUCUAUUCCAUAUACUCCUCAACAAAAUGGUGUUGCGGAGAGAAGAAACAGAACCCUAAUGGAAAAGGUUAGGUCCAUGAUGGCGCAUGCUAACUUACUCAUCACUUUUUUUGGAGUGAUGCGUUGCUAACUGUUGCCUUCAUACUUAACCGGGUGUCUUCCAAAUUAGUUAUUUCCACUCCAUAUAAGUUAUGGAUAGGUAGAAACCGGACUUAAGUUUACUUAAGCCAUGGGGUUAUGCUACCUAUACUCAUAUGUCCUCUCACAAGUUUGGGAAAUUGAGUCCCAGAUAAAAGUAGAGUAUUUUAAUGAGAUAAUCCGAACACUCGAAAGGAUAUGUGUUCAUAGGUGAGCAGGAAAGUGGGAGAAUAACUGAAUUUUGAAUCACGGGAUGUCACAUUCUUAGUGGAUGAAUUUCCUUAGAGGGGCGAAAUAGGGGAAGAUUACUUCCUAUUUGAAACCUUGGAUCAAGAUAAUGAUAUUAGUGGAGUUCAUCCAAGUGGGAGUAAUAUGAGAUGUGAUGAAUUGAAUUCAAUUUAUUCUCAAUUGCAACCACCUGAUGUGACGACAUCAUCAUUACCUAAUCCAAGUGGGAGCAUAAUUGGGAAUGAUGUGCUAAGUGUACAAUCUCCCAUACGGUGAACAAGUUGCCAAAGUAUUCCCCGUCGAUGUUUUGACAUUGAAAGGGAAACUUUUAUGGUUGCUCCGCAAGAUGAGGAUGAGCCGAGAAAUAUUAAUGAGGCUCUUAAUUGCCCUAGUAAGAAAAAAUGGAUUAAUGCAAUGGAAGAGGAAAUGGAGUCAAUGAAGUCAAACCAAGUCUGGGAACUGGUUGAUCUUCCAAAAGGAUGCAAAGUCAUUGGGAACAAGUGGGUUCUCAAAAUAAAGCGAAAGGCUGAUGGCUCGAUAGAAAGGCAUAAGGCUCACCUUGUGGCGAAGGGGUAUAAUCAACAGGAAGAUAUUGAUUAUGAAGAUACAUUUUCUCCUGUAUUGAGAUUUACCUCGAUUCGCAUAAUUCUGGCAAUAGUGGCUAGUCUGGAUCUUGAGUUACAUCAAAUGGAUGUAAAGACUGCUUUCCUCAAUGGAGAAUUAGAGGAAUAAAUAAAUAUGGAACAACCUGUCGGUUUCAUAGUGAAAGGCCAAGAAGAAAAUGUAUGUCGACUUUGGGGGUCGAUAUAUGGCCUUAAGCAGUCGUCAAGACAAUGAUAUAUACGUUUUCAUAAUACCAUAAUAGCAUAUGAUCUUACAAUGAUAGAUGAGGAUCAUUGUAUAUAUAUCAAAAGAUCCAAGGAUCAAUUUGUGAUCAUAUCAUUAUAUGUUGAUGAUAUACUAAUUGCCGGAAGCAAUAUGGAGUUGGUUAAUACUGUCAAGAGACAGUUGUCUUCCAACUUUGAGAUGAAUGAUAUGGGAUUGUAAACCCAUAAACACUCCUAUUGCAAAAGGUGAAGGAUUGAGCCAUAGACUGUGUCCAAGGACUCCACAAGAGAAGGAACAAACAAAAUAUGUUCCUUAUGCUAGUGCUGUUGGGAGCUUGAUGUAUGCUAUGAUGUGUACAACACCCGACAUAUGCUUUGCAGUUGGAAUGAUGAAUAGUUACCAAUCCAAUCCAGGUCAAGCACAUUGGAAAGCCGUUAAAAGAAUAUUAAGGUAUCUAAAGGGGACUGCUGAUUAUACGCUGAGUUAUUAUGGAAAGGAUCUGCGACUCUAAGGCUAUUCUGAUAUUGAUUGGGGAGGAGAUUUAAAUAAAAGGAAAUCUACCUCUGGGUUUGUUCUCUUACCGAAUAAUGGCACCAUAUGUUGGAGCAGUAAGAAACAAAAGUGUAUAGCCUUGUCCACGAUGGAAACUGAGUUCGUGGCAUUAUCAGCAGCAGUAUAAGAAGAUGUUUGGCUUAAGAGAUUAUUGGAUCAUUUAGGUGUUAUUGGAAGUGCUGCAGAUUUGUUAUUAGUUAACUAUGAUAAUCAAGCAGCAAAAGUAUACACUAAAGAUCCAAAUAUCAUGGCAAGACCAAACAUAUAGAUACCAAGUAUAAUUUUGUCAAGGAUAUGGUUGCACGAAAAGAUGUGAACUUAGAGUACAUACUACGCAUAGAAUGGAAGCAGAUCCUAUAACAAAGCCAAUACCUAGAGAUGUGCUUUGUGGCCAUGUGAAAUCUCUAGGAUUGCGUAGAGACUGAUGUACUAAAUAUUGUAAUUUCCCUAAGUGUUCACAAUUUGAUGAAUUUGUGUUUUCAUCGUUAAUGCCUAUGAAUCUUUGUAUGAUCUUUAUGCAUCUUAAUGCUCAGUGCAUUAUUUUAAGUUGAGAAGUAUGUCGGACAGAUAUAAGAUUAGCCCACUCACACGGGUAAUCGCCUCUAUUUACUGUGUGAUAAAUAGAGAUGAGACUGUUUUUAAGCUUAUUAUCUAGGUGAUAAUCGAGAGCUCAAGCUUAAAACACGUAUGUCGCCUUAACUGAGUGUUAAGAUGAGGACAUAAUACUUACUAUGUCCGAAAGUAAAAUAACCCACAUAUUUUACUUUAUCUGUCUAAAAUGCCAGAUGUGAGUUCUGAUGAAUUUUGUGAUUGAGUAGAUACGUGAACUCAAGUUAGACAUUAGGUAUGUCUGAACUAUCAUCUGUACGGUAUUGAAAAGUGAAGACAUACGCUCCAUGGGAAAGGAGUUAAUACCGUAAUACGUAUUUCAUACUACGUAUGCAUAAGACGACCAAUAAGAGUGGCAAAAAGUUUGAUCUCAACUUUUAUGACGUGUGAGACUCUUGAGGAAAAGAGUUCCUCAAUUUUUGUCCCCUCAUGACUCUUACUUAUUCUCAAGAUUUCUAUUUAGUGUUUGCUAUCUUAGGAUGUUGCCAAUGGUCAUGUGUUUGAUUCGAUCUAAUGGGACAUUUCUAGAAAAGCAAGCUGAACUGAAAUUGAGAGUUUGAAGGAAAGAGGAAGAUCGAUUUUGGAGAAUCACAUUAUAGUUUUGUAUUCACUGGUCGACCAAUUAUAAUUGUCUUUGUGAUAAUUAUAAUUGUGAAUACAAUAUAUAUCAUUGUUUAAAAGAGAUUAAGAGAGAUAUAAAUGUGAUCGAUCGAUCUAGGGUACUGCAUACUAAAUCUACUCGGAGUGUGACGCCCAUUAUGAGCUGCUAUAUAUUCCUAACAGAUGUAUAGUAACGAGCUCUCAAAGUAUGCUGGUCGCACGGAUUAUUCACCAGUAUGAAUGUUGAAGAGAGGUAAAGAGAAUCCUGUUUGGCCCACCAUGUUAAGAGAGAGUCUAUGAUGGAUUAUUCUCUGAUGGGCCUGAGUAGGGCCUGUCCGUCCAUGUUGGUUUUGGACCACCAUGUGCGAGUGGGAGAUGAAGGCUUUAUUUGAUUUGGGCUUAAGGCCCAUCCGCCAAAGUUGGGCCUAGAAAGCCCGGCCCACGGGAAUAAGGCCCGUGGAAAGAGGGAGGUAUAAAAGGGAGGAGAGAGAGAGAAAAACAACAGUUGGUAAAUUGUACGUACGCUGUUUUUCUCUCAACGCUCUCUCCCUCUCUCCCGUUUUCUCCAAAAGCAAAACAGUGAAGCAAUUGAAGGAGUUUGCCUCCUCGGAUCGAACAAGGCUCGAUUUCUCUUCCUCUAACGGCGUCGGUGUCUAAUCUGUGGCAAUCAAGGUACGCUCGAAUCCGUGGUGUGCUUUACGAUCGGUGAUACGUGUCGUUUUCUUGGGCUUCGCUUCCGCAUUGAUUUAGGGGUUCGAUUUAGUGUCGAAUCCGGUUUUCGGGGAUCAGUAAUUCCCAACACUACUCAAAACAGGCUUAAUCAUGGAGAGUAUUACAAUCAGAAGCACAGAGCAGAACAAUCUGUGAUGAUAGAAAAUAUGAAAUCCCAAGCAGCAUUGAGCUGCUGCCAUUCAGUUCGAUUGAGCAAGCUAAACUUGGGAAAAAAAGAGUAAUAAAUCGAUAGCCACUACAGUUUUGACAUAGAAUAGCCAGUCAAACCGAAUCACGUCCUACCCAAUCAAAGGCAACUAAGUUUCGAUUGGGUUGAGCUGGACAUCAAUGGUAGAGAUUAGUAGUGAAAGCAAAGGUACCUUGCCGGUGGUGGUGCAGAGAGAGAGGAAGCCCUCGCAAUAGACCUUACGCUUCAGCUUCUGCUUCAGGUGCUUCUUGAAGGUGAAAUUCCAGCAAGCACGGUCUCAAGCACAUAGCUCAUUUCAUCAAACACCAAAAUUGCACAUGAUCACCAAACACUAGACAGGCAAAACUUAGAUGGUUCACUCACACAAAGCAUAAUUCAACACACCAAUUACAAACACAAUCCAAGAGCAGUUCGGGAUUGAAAAGGAAAACUAGAGCACAACAAAUAUCAAUUCCUAGAACUUGCAUUGCCAGCUCAAAAUGCAAUCGUUGAGUCCAUCACAGAGGAGUCAUACUGGAUUCCCGAAAGCUCUGACGUAUUCAUCUGUGGGAUUCUGCUGAGUCUGGAUGUUCUGUGUAAGGGCAACAAGGAUGUUGAUGCCAGAUUUCUGUCCCUCAAUAUUCUGUUUGAUGCGAUGUUCAUUUUCCUAAUCAAAACUCCAGAGUUAAAGUAUAAGCUGGCAGACUUGGGUGCAAUUUCUCCCUCUCUGCCCAGCCUUGAUUGAGGAUGAGGACCCCUAUACCAAUGUGUGAGCAGAAGCUCCUUCCGAUGCUCAUAGAGUUCAACUUGACUAAAAUUUCUGAGAUUCUACAACCAAAGACAGUCAGCCACUGCUUCAGAUUUUCACUUGGUGAUCUGUCCUGUGCAAAUGUGAAUGAUGUUGAGCUGCGUGUGGCUCUGGCAUUGGCUCUGGAAAUGGAUCCCAAGUUGCUUUCUCAGCUGAAAGUAGUACAGCUUAUUGGAAACCUUUUGGAGUUUGUGCAUGAGAAAAAUAUGGAAGAUUUUCUCAAAAUGAUGUUUGGCUUGUGCAAAGCUCUUCUUUUAUGAUCACUAGGUUCUACGAAAGGUUCCACAUACAUGGAAGAGCCAACAAUACUUGAUGAAAGUUCUUCUGAGGCAGUGAGUAGCAUAUGACACAUAACUGACUUUGGUGGCAGUGCCAGUGUUUUCCGGGAAAUGAGUGGUUCUCAUGACAGAAACAGUGCCGAUAUUGCUUCUAAAUUAACAGCUCUAUUACUGAAGGCAGCCCCAAGGGAAGGUGCUCUCUUUUUCUUACCAAUCUCCUGUAAGUGAGUGCAAUUCUCGAGUCUCAGCAGAAGGGUGCUCCUUCUCUACCGGUACCAAUGAAUGCUGCAUUCUCUCAGUUACUCCAGUAGGCGAUGUUUGCUGCACGGAAUGAUUUUUGUCAGUGUGCCCAUCAAAGAUUGCUAUGAUUGAAGGCAUCGUUGCUGAGAUAAAAUAUUCUGCUGCUGCUGCUUUAGCCAGCGCUGCCACUGGUAAUCUUGGAAUUGCAGUGGCUCCCUUUAUGACUUCUCCAUAACAUUUACAAAUCCCACCAAGAAGCACACCUUUCCUGAAAAAUAAACUGAACUUAAGCAUAGCAAUACAGAGUGUCUGUCUACUACAAAGUCGCAAAUGAGUUGAUUGUGCUGUAAUGUCCCAGGAUGAGAACCAUGGUCAUAUGACCUUCCAGCACACAUCCGACCUAUUUGUUUACAGCAUAGCGAAGUUAUCUCUAAUGCGAAGCGAGGUUAUCAAUUUCAAAAUAUAUGAAGCAGCAAAUCGACAAGGAUCUCUAAUAAUUUGGUACAUAUCAAAUAAAAACGAUGCAAUCGAAAUGCAUAUCUCUAGGAGAAAUCAUCCUAGGAAAAUGUAGCUAAAAAAGCCAAACCAAACUAGGAAAAGAACACAAAUACGUGUACAUAAUUAAGAGCCCUUUGGCUGUUCGGAGGUAUUAUAAUUUCAAUGCCGUCAUCAGAUUUUCAGACAUGAACCCGCAAAUAGGUCAUUAAAAAGUGCAUGCGAAACUUCUCUGCUCAUAUCUCUGAAAGAAUUUGAUUGCCAGAAAAGGAAAAGAUUGGUACUUACCUCAAUUCGUUUAAGGUUUGAACACGAGGGAACAAUUUGCAGUCGUGCUUCAAAAAGCUUCCAAGUGCAACGUGCACUUAUUCAUCAUCUUCUUCAUCGUAUUCUUCCACAAAUUUUUCUUCUUCAUUGUCUUCUUCCACAAAUUCGUCUUCUUCAUCGUCUCCCACAAAUUCAAUUGACUUCUCCAAGCAAAGCGAGAAAUUUCCUCCACAUCUAAUUUCCUACAUCCUCUUAUUGUGACCUCUCGCAGUCUCUUCAAGCUUGACAGCUCAGGCAACUUUUGUAAAGAUUCACAGCUGUCAAUAUACAAUGUUUCCAAAGAUUGGGGUAGUUCGCCUUGAAUCUCAACCAGAUUAUGACAAUCUCUUACUGAAAGAUAUCUUAUUCCAUCCAUAUUGCUUAGAUCAGGGAGCUGUAUAUUCAAACCUUUGAUUGUGACCCAUCGCAGUCUCUUCAAGCUUGACAGCUGAGGCAACUUCUGUAAAGAUUCACAGCUGUCAAUCCACAAUGUUUCCAAAGAUUGGGGUAGUUCGCCUUGAAUCUCAACCAGAUUAUGAUAAGAUUCUACUGAAAGAGAUCUUAUUCCAUCCAUAUUGCUUAGAUCAGGGAUCUGUAUAUUCAAACCUUUGAUUGUGACCCAUCGCAGUCUCUUCAAGCUUGACAGCUCAGGCAACUUCUGUAAAGAUCCACACCAUUGAAUCCGCAAUGUUUCCAAAGAUUGGGGUAGUUCGCCUUGAAUCUCAACCAAUUUACCGCAGGAUUCAAUGUUCAAGUAUUCCAAAGAUUGAGGUAGUUCGCCUUGAAUCUCAACCAGAUUAUGACAAUAUGCUACUGAAAGAUAUCUUAUUCCAUCCAUAUUGCUUAGAUCAGGGAUCUGCAUCUGUUUAAAGCCAGAAAGCUGCAACCGAUGUCCACUUAAAUAUUCAAACAUCUGAUUGACAAUACGCACAUACACAUAAACAUGUGUCUUACCCAUUAUGCUGAACGGAUCGGGGAACUCCUGUAACGAAUCACAGGAACAAAUUUUAAGACAAUCCAAAAACCGUGGUAGUUCGCCUUGAAUCUCAACCAGAUUACCACAAUUGAUUACUUCAAUAUGCCUCAGCUUGUUUAACUUGCUUAGAUCAGGUAGCAUCACCAGCUGUUCGAGUUCCCAGAGGUGCAAAUCUCGUAGGUUCUUCAAACAACCAAGGCCUUCAAUCUUUGCAACUGCAGAGCAGCAAAUGUCGAGAUCUGAUAGUUUCCACAAAUUCGAUAGAUCCAUCGAGCCAAGUGAGUCGCAACCAGAGAGACGUAAGACGGAUAAACUUGAGGGAAGCCUCGGGAGGAGAGGCGGAUGAGGAGGGAGGCUGAGGUCUGUCGAUGAGGCGGUCCCCCCGAAAAAGCGCAGUACCAGAGAUUCCAAUUUGCUUAAGUUCCCAAUCCAUCGUGGUAUCCGUUUUUCCAGGAGCCCAUAAAAUUUCCCAUCACAGUUAGGUGGGCCAAAGCCCAGAUGCAAUACCUUUAAGUUAGCGAGAUUUGAGAGAUCCGGAAACGUGUCCACCCUCAACUCCUCCACUUCUAAUUCGAUGAGACUUUCAGGAAACCUUGGUAGAGCGUGUGCUCCCGGCCAUCCCAAUAUCUCCUCCCUUAAAUCCGCGUAGAUGGUACGGCCACUUAUUGAGUGGACAUGCGUGACAUGAUUAUAACGGUCGGCGAUUUCCAUUCCCUUGACCUUCCCCAACUUCUUCCAACAGGCAUCAUUGUUUGUUCUGUUAUCGACAUAAUUCUGCAUCUUCAUUACUUUCAAAUUCUUCGACAUUCCAAUGAAAUUGGGUACUACUUCGAUGCUCGUCUGACUUAUGUCCAACUUUGUUAGCGAAUCCAAAUUUCCAACCGUCUCCGGAAGCCUCUGAAGAUUCCAACAAUAGCUUACAUCUAAGAAAAUUAAGCGUUUCAACUGACAAAUUGAUCCAUCAAUUUCGAUUAAUGAUUCACAGCCUGAUAGGAUCAAAUGUUCUAAAUUUGAAUGAGCUGAGAAGUUGGGGGUUCUCUUCAAGCAUUGGCAAUGGGCUAGAUUCAGAACUUUCAAAUUCUUAAUCACCUGUGGAAGAAAAUUCAUGCAAAGUUUACUUUCAAAUUUAAUGAGACGGAAGAACAAGUAUCGUCUGACAUAUAACAUACUUUCAUGUGGUUCCACCCCUUCCAAUCAUUCGUAAUUUUACUCCAAGAUAGAUCAAGAAGAAUCACAUUCUCCAUGGAGAAAUUUGUAAUCUCAAAUGUUUGGCGAAUAUUUCGCCAAGAAAGCCAACGUAAUUGUGGAAGGAGAUUUGAAUUCUUUCGAAAAACAUUAGUUGAAAGGACAUUUGAUGGCCCUUUGUGCUGAAGAAGCAUCUUUUUUGCACGAAAAAUUUCCUCUGGGUCAUCAACUUCAAGGAACCUUAGGUUUGGUAGGCUCUUAAAAUCCUCAUAGGUAAAACAGUGCUGAUGGUCCAAGUGGAGACGGAGAGCUUCAACUUUUUUCUUCAUCUGCCCAAAAUAAAAUUUUUAACAACAAAACAGUUGAUAGGAAACACAUUUAUCCAAGUUCACUAUUUUAAGGGGUUGAGUUGAGUACUAUUGUUCCGUUAAUCUUAAAAGAGCAAAAAUAUUGGUUGAGUAGGUCACAAUGGUGCUAGAAAACACAAAAAAAUAAUUGCCUCUUUUUGAAAAGAAAAUGGCCAUAAAUAACUUGGAGAUUUAUUGCACGGGGGAUUUACCCCAUGGCUCUUCAAAAUAUCCAAUGCUUUCUUAGGAUCCCAUGCCCUAAUUUGUUUAUUUAUAUUCGUUUCUUGACAAGCUAUUUGUCUUCCGAGGUCUCUGAGUAUGUCGUGCAUCCACACUUUGUUAUCCUCUUUAAUCUUUAUCAAAGACAUGUUCUCCAAAACAUCCAUGGCAUAUUUCGGAUGGAAUUCAAAUUCCCAAAAAUGAACUACAAUGUCUUUAUCAUAUCCAAUAAAGAGACAAGCUAUAUCAAGGAAUAUUUGCUUUUCCUUUUCUUCUAAUUCAUCAUAACUUAUUUUCAAUCUACUCUGGACAUCCUUAUGAGGAUCACUUUCCCACUUACCUAAUUUGGAAUCCCACUUUUUCUUUUCAGUAGUUUGAGAUAAAUGUGAACCCAUGAGCUCAAGUGCUAACGGAAGACCUCUAGCAAUUUUUAUCGCCCUCUCGGAUUGGUCGAUAAACUUGUCCAAAGGAUGAUCUGUUCUAAAAGCAUGUUUGCUGAAGAGUUGAAGAGAUUGAUUGUGAUCCAUGCCCCAAAGCUCAUAACAGCUUUUCACUCCAAGAACAUCAAGAACUUCUUUGCUUCUAGUAGUAACAAUAAUUUUGCUGCCUUUACCAAACCAAUCACACUCACCUGCAAGUGCAUCCAUAUGCUUCUUUUCAUGCACAUCAUCGAGAAGGAGGAGGACUCUUUUAUUAGACAAUCUGUCUUUGAUGGUAUUAAUCCCAUCAUCAAUGUUUCUUAUAUCUGUCCAUUUUUUUUUUAGGAUGUCGGAGAUGAGCUGAUUCUGCAAGGAUUCAAUGCCCUUGCAUUCUGACUUUGACAUUUCACAGAUGUCAGACAGAAAGCAAUAGUACUCAAAUUUUUCUAUAAGCUGAUUAUAGAUGAUUUUGGCAAUUGUCGUUUUUCCGAUGCCACCCAUCCCAUGAAUUCCUAUAAUCCGUGUUUCACUUGUCUGAGCACCUAUCAGUUCCAUGAUUGCAUCCACAUGGUUGUCGACAUUGACCAAGCAAUUUGAUACAACCAAAUAAGCCUUUUUCAACUCAUUGAAAACCUUCCGCGUGAUUGUUUUUGCAAACUGACCUUCUUGCCUAGUGUUUGUUGAAAGUCAAAAGACAAUGAGUUAGAGACGGAGUUGAACCAAACUAUGCUUUGACAAGACCAAAUAGAAAACUACAGACCUAUUCUAAAUGCGUUCUUCAACGAUUUAUACCAUUUUGAUAAACUAGCACUGGAACUUAGGGUAAAUGAAUGACCUGAACUAACGAAAAAUGUUUCUUGCUGGGAAUGAAAUGGGACAAAAAUUGGCAUUGUGAUAUUAUUUAGCCUGAUUUUGCUGCAUAAUUUCAAUUGCAUACAAUUCAAUUUCAACAAGACUAACACAAAUCUAGAAAAAGAAACCAAUUAAAAUGCAUUGAGUUUAACGAUAUAAGGCACAUGAGAUGGAAUGCUAAAAGCAGUCACCUGUUGGGCAUGCUUUGCAGGUCCCAUCCAUUUAUAUCCGCGACUGUAGUGAGAGCAUUCUUCCACUCUGCUAUAGUCUUUUCAUCAUAUCGCUUCUUUCUUUUGUGUGAAACAAAAGCAUUUUCAAAACUCCCGGUUUGGUGUCGAACCUCCGAAGGUGUCACAUCAUAAAAAAUGGGUAUGAUCUUUUGUCCUUCAUUUUUCUGGCACUUGACCAUUUGAACUAGCUCUUUGAGACACCAUACGCUAGAGGCAUAACCUUUUGAAAAGAUAGGUAUUAAGAUCUUCGACUGAUUGAUUGCUUCAAGAAGUUCUGGGGCAAACUCUUCCCCGAUACAGAGCGCGUCAUCGUCCCUAAAUGUGUGGAUUCCUGCAUCUAUAAGAUAAUUGUAAAGGAAGUCGGUAAAACCUGAUCGUGUGUCAAGCCCUCUGAAACUCAAGAAUACUUCAUAGUCAUAUCCGGAAGAUGUUGCCAUUUCCUCAACUUGUGGUGUAGUGCAAGUACGAGCAGCCCUCUCUACGGUACCAUUCUGUGUAGCUGAAUUAUUAUCUGCACUGCCCUCCACAGCGGUCUGACCAGCUCUUUUCUUCAGGAAUCCUUUGAACAGGAUGGCAGAGAGAGCUAUGGCAGCAACUGUCACAAUACAGGGCAACAGCAAGUGCUCAAGCCUUUUGUGAGUUAGCAAAGAGAAGGUUUUUAGAUAGAAAUACAGGGGAAUGGUGGAAUAGCAGAGAUGAGAGGCGGCACUUAAAGAUCAGGAUGGAGUAACGAGCAACGGCGAGAAACCGCCAGAGAAAGAGUAGAGACUGAGGCGAGGGCGGCCACUGAUGCUGCGACGGAUUGGCGACGAGGCGGAGGAGGAGAAGGAUCGAGAGGAAGAGGAGAGGAAGGGGGUCGUGCGGCGAGGAGGCGGAGAAGUAUCGAGAGGAAAACGAGAGGAAGGGGGUCGUGCAGGUGCGGCGAGCGGCGAGCGGAGGAGGAGAAGGGCGCGCUAGCUUGGGUUUUGGAAACUCAAAAAGGAUAUAAAAAUGAGGCUGAUGAGGGUGAAGUGACAGCCUGUCACGUGGGUGGGGGAGGGGAAAAAGAGUUAAUUAAAUUUGGGUUGGGGGGGAAAUGGCCUGACGUGAGGAGAGGAGGGAAAAAAAAAAUUGAAAUAAUUUUUUUUGGGGGGGAGGGGGAAAUAGUCUGACGUGGGGAAGGGAGAGAAAAAAAUUGAAAUAAAUUUGGAGGCGGGGGAAAAUAUAAGAGGGAAAGAAGGGAGUGGGGGUUGGCGGUGGACCCCUCGAUGAGAUUUUUUUUAAUCAAAAAAAUAAAUAAAUGAAAUAAAAAAAUAAUUUUGAAAAUUAAAAAUACUGAAUUUUAAAUGAUAAUAAAUUUUGAUCAUUAUAAAAUAUUAUGGAUUUAUUUAAAUAAGUUGAUUCUAAUUUCUUGUUAAUAAUCAAUUUUAUCAAUAACUUUUGUUAAAAAUAAAAACAUAUUUCUAAACAUGAAUAUGUAUUAAUUAUGAAUAUAUCUUUCAAAAUUCUAAUGAAUUGAUUUAUUAAUAUUAUUAGUGUAAAUUUAUUAUAGGCUUUUUUAAUUAUUUAUUUGUUUAUGAAUUUGAAUUAAAUUAAUUAAAAAUAAAAAUAUCCAUUUAAUAUACAACAUGCUUCAACGUAUCGAAAUUCUCAAUUUUUGAGAAAUGACAUAUUAAUAUGUCGUGUUGCGUGUCGAUACUAGUUAGGGAGUAAGCGCAAGAAGCCAAGGCACUUUAAAUCUCAAGGAGCAAAUGGGCAAGUGUUGGGAUUCACACUCUACAUUGUACGGUGCACACUAUUUUCCCCCCUCUGAAUGCCUUUUGAGGAGAUAACAUUCAACUGCAAUUUCAUAAAAGGUUCUGAAGGAAUAUUCGCUACACAUCGGACAAGGCCGCCAUCUUUCAUCUGGCAUUUCCUAAACAGUGUUCACAUUGCACUAGCUUUGAGGAAGAAAAAAAAGAAUAGUGGCGACAAUGUUUCGCGUGCUAUGAUGCAUAAGUUGGUCUCCAAGACCAACCAAGCACAUCCGCUUGGAUGUAAGUUGUCUCUUCUCAUAUCUCAGGAAUGAAAAUUGUCCUUUCUAAGGUUGAUUCUAGAGAUUUGGCCCUCCACUCUCCUUUUUGAGUUCAUAUUUCAAUAUUGAUACACAUCCUUUUAUUUGAUGAGCAAAACUAAAUUACGAAUCCUUCACUUCGGUGACUGUUUGAAUUCUUGUCCAAGGCUUUCAUAUUACCAAAAACAAUCAAUGUAUUUAAAAAAUACUUCAGUUGUGCUUGCAAACAAGUGUAAGCUGAAGUAUUAAAGUGGUGGAAUGUCAUUGGAAGGUUAAACCAGCGAACAGACCAUGGCUAGCGGAGUAUCCUUCCAAAUGUCACUUCUAGAAAUAUGAACAUAUCACAAUGCAGAGUUUUCUUGUUAAAAAAAUUUGACUCGAAUCUCACGAACUUAAAUAAUUCCCUAAGGGUCUUACAUCUCAAUUGACAACAUGAUUGCAUUCACAUUGGACAUAGCACAGUGCAAAGUUUUUAUUCCCCUUAAAAAAGAGAGAGAGAGAAGUUCAAUCUUUUUGAAUAUCUAUAAUAUAAAUAAUUUUUUCCUAAUGUAACUUCUAGAAAUAUGGACAUCUACUCUCUCUACAUCAGAUCAAAACAUUAUCCAGCGCAAUUCAUUUGAUGGGAUGGUUGUAAUUUGAAAUCUUGCAAAGUUCUAAAAUUCCGCUGGCCAAAAAGGAGUUUUGAUAUAUGCGUUGUAAGUUUGAAUAAUCAAAUAAUAAAUUUCAAAUAUAGCUGGUAAGUGAAAAUUACAUAUGACUUUAUAUAUAUAAUCGACAAAGUGACGAUUACAGCCAUAAGGACGUACUUAAGCCCAACUUGCACCAAGAGCAACCAUGUCGACCGAAGAAAAAAUAGCCGACCCCGAUGCGGCGAAGCUGGCUGAAGCGCUGCUGCUGAAAGAGGAGGCCCUGCCUCCACCCACGAGGCCUCCCGACGAGGCGAGCUUGCUCACAGCGGACGUGGCUCUUCAAGGGUUGCUGUUUGCUUCGAUGCUAAUCGCGCUCUUGAGGACCGUUCUAAGUUUGGUUCUGGAGAUUAGGUCCUCUGCCAUCCUUUUUGAGUUCAUAUUUAAAUUAUUGAUGCACACCAAUACACACGCUUUUACUUGAUGGGCAAAAUUUUAAAAAUCGAGCAAGUUAAUUGAGUCGAGCCCCGAUACCGCGGCCACAUGCAACCACGGCCGUGCGAGGCCAGCAACCUCCGUCUGUCGCGACUUCUAUUGGACAUAGGUUGUGAGUUCCGUGCGGAGAAAAAAAGAGACCAAAGGAUAGCAAACAAGUCAACUCGGUGAGGAGUUGAGGUCGCCGGUGGAUUCACACAUGAAGGUGAGGGCUUGUGAUGGCAAUGGGUGGGCGACACGUAAAAAACAUAAACUAUAUUAACUAUGACACUAAUUAUUCUAACUUUUUUUUUCAUCAUAAAAAAUCGAAACUUGUAUCAGAAAUCCAAAAAGUACUCUCCAUCCAAGAUGGUCAUUAAAAAUUUAAUGUGCCUGUUUGCGUGGACAACAGUAGACAAAUGAAGCAGACAUGACUCAGGAGAAUUCCACCAAAAAGCCUAAACCUUGCUUGGUGCGACAAUGAAACCCAUUUUUUUACCUGUUACUAAUGCUAUAUAUAAACUUGUAUCAGUGACUCGCAAAUAUUAUGCAUCACAGUUCCAUCCAAGACGGCCGUUAAAAAUCCAAUGUGACCGCUUGCUUGGACAUCGAUAGGCAAAUGGAGCCAAUGUGGAUAUGAUGUGGUUUUAGUAUGGUCUAAAGUGACUUUAUACCACUUGUCAAAGUUAUAAGUUUUUAAAAAUUAAACCUCCAUGAUAAUAAGUUGUCUCUCACAAUUUUUAGGGUCCAGGAAGUGGUAUAAUUUGGAGAUGCAGUUUUUUUGAAUAAUAAAUGGGACGAAUUCAUCUCUAUUUUAACUAAAAGAGCUCCGAGCUUAAUUUGAAACUAAUUUACAAAAUAAACGAGCUUCAACUUACUCUCCAUUUAUUUCUUAAAAAAUGAAUGAUUUGGAAAACAUUUUAUAUCGUUCAUAAAAAUGAAUAAAUUAAAGAUAUUUUCAUUAUCUAUGAAAAUAUUUAGACAUAAAUUAUUAUCGAUAGUUAAAAAAAUUCAUUAAUCAAUUGUUUCAAGAAAUAUAAAUGAUGAUUAUCAUUUAUUUUUCGCGAAAUAAACAGAAUGCCAACUUUAACAAAAGUGUAAUGGAAAAUAUUCUUGCUUUGCCUUUUCCUUUUUCUCUAUGCGCUCGAGACCUUACAUUCGUCCACCUUCUUUUUAGCAUUUCACUUAUGUUCUUCUUCUUUUUGGGACAAGAAAGAAUAUGAAGGGAUAUGAUUGUUCACUUUGGAUCUCUUUAUUGGCAUCAAAUAUAUGGUCUAUUGUCGUACCGAUCUGACAUCUAUCAACAACUUUUUUUGGGGUAUGGAUUCAUCAACAACGUUAGCAUGCAAACACUCGUACAAUUUUGUGCCGAAGGGUAAUACUUUUCCUAAAAAAGAAAAAGAAAAAAGAAAAAAAAACUGUAACUGCCCCUCACGAUCUUCCUUCUUUGUUUGAUGAAAAAUCAUUUUUGGAAAAUUUCUUUCCUUACUUUCCAGUGUUUGAAUAACGUAAAGAUACUCGAUCCAUAAAAAAGUUUACCAUAGGCUAAAAGUAAUAAAUAAGCUUAGAGAAAAAUGACUUGGCAAGAAGAAUUUUUUUCCUUGAUUUUUGUCCUAAUUUCUUUCGUUGUUAUUUUCAUGGAUUAUAGAAUAAACGGUGAUGAUAUCAUAUCCAGUUUGUUAGUCAUCACAUGUUACAUUUAACUAUACAAGCCACCCUUAAUGAAUUCACUUAUACCAAUUAUGAUAAAAUCAAUUUCUUCAACUUGUUUUCAGCACAAUCAAAAUUUUGUGUUUACUUUUUCUGAGAUUGAAUUUCCUAAAACAUUUUCCCUCAACAAAAAAAAUUCUCAGUGAGAUAAACACAACCUAAGAGUUUGUUUUCAACAUGAUGUUAUUCGAUUGAAAGAAAUAGUAAGAUGGAAUUAUCAAUGGAUAUGAGAAUUGGACAUCGAUUUGUUGUCAUAUGAUUAUUGGGAGUUGAAUGAGAGAAUAAUGAAUCGGUGUAGGAUUUUACAGAAUGAUCUUAGUGAAAUAUUUUUACGAUAAAAUCUCUACGUUUAUGGAAGUCUGAUUGGGAGGCACAGAGUGCCAAAUAAAUGGAUCAUUGGUGUGAUUCCUUCCAGAGCAAGCUGGUUCAUCAUGGACUCUUGGUAGUCCAAGUCUUCGUUGACUUUGACUUUGCCCUUCUAAUCCCGUGACAUUUCCGUCUUCUUGCACCACUCCAUACGCUGUUCUAUCUUCUUCUUCUUUUCUCUCUUUCUGAGAGUUGUAGCUAAUGCGAUUUUAAAUCUAAUGAUAGUAUUUUGACGCAAGGCAAAAUUAUAUGUAUACGGCACUUUUGUUCUUUCCAUUCAAUUAAAUUAGAAGCCAAAUCAGUGCAGCACAUUGUGGAAUCUAAAUCACUUUUAGAAGCCAAAAUUACAAAUGGAGAUCUGCAUGGGUCAUUAAAAGUAGAACACAGGAUUUGUUGACUGUGCUGAGAGCCGGGGGCAGUUCGUACUCUAAUGAUAUUGUCUUAGUAGAGUUUGCUUUCACCCUGAAAUAGAACCGCACGGUGUCCAAUGCGUCUUCCUUCUUCCAUUGAAUCAUCGGAGAGCACCGUGUCGCUAUAAAUGCCCCCGCCCUUGCCCACAAAUUAACAAGAAUGACAGGGCACGGAGACCCACUCGUGGCUUUGCUUGAACAUAGUUGUAGUGUCGCUUUCAGGACAGGAAUGUGUCCCAAUCGGGGAAAAAGUAUCAAGUCUAUUUUGAAGAAAAAACGCCCCGUCUGUUUUUUGUGCUCUCCAAACCUCAAAAAUACAAAGGAAGUUGGGAAAAUAUGGCAAUUUCAAUGGGGACGCAUGGGCUAAAAAUCCAUGAUUUCGGGGUUGCCCUACCAAAUUCGGCAUAUGGACUGGAUUACACCUCUCUUCACUUCCUCCCUAUUCUUCGAGCAGGUCUUGCCUGCUUGAGCACCAGGGCAUGUGAACCCGACUCAUGCACAGAUGGAUCAUGUGAAUUCUCCAUACGUUCCAUCUCAUCCAUUGGUACGCAUGACCCCGGAUUGAUUUAGCAUCUUCUUCCUAUUAAUUGGCUCCCGCUCCACCGCACUCGAUAUCAUUAGUCCCCUCAUGUGAGUCAUGUGACCACCGACAGUUGAUAGUAGGGGUGAGCAACGGUCUAGGGUUGACCCUGGACCGACCCUGGACCGGCCUAACCCUACCGGUCCUGGUCUGGUUCCCAAGGGGACUGGGUCGGUCCUUGGUCCUGGAAUUCCAGGACCAACACUGUGCGGGUUGGUCCUCGGUUCUUAGAGUUUUGGGUCGGUCCAACCUUGGACCACCCUGUAUAUUAUAUUAUAUUAUAUAUAAUUCUUUUAUAUACUCAAACCUAAGUAAAAUGUAUGUUAUGUUAUAUUAUAUUAUAUUAUAUUAAGAUAUUCUAUCAAUAGCACUAAUAGUAAUUUCAAUUUAAAAAUUUUGUUGAGUAUUAAUUAUGUGUCGUUUGUUUUGUUUUCAAGUGUUUAGAAGUUUAAGUGAAUUAACAAGAUGUGAAGUUAUAUAUUCAUGGUUUAUAUUAAGUAUUUUGAACUUUUUAUGGUUUAAUUGUAUUUUACUAAUGAAUUUCAGCUACACUUUGCUUUUCAAUUUGUGUCAAAUGGUAGAAGUUUUUGAAGAGUAGAGUAGUAUUGCAGUUGCUACGGUGAUUUGCUACAUGAUCAAAUGCAGGAAAACACUUUUGCAUAUGGUUUUAUGAAUAUUAAAGAUAGAUGACUACAAGAACUUUCCAUCUUGUCCCAUAUCUCGAUAAGCGGUUAGCAGGUACAAAAUUUCUAUUAUUGUGUCAUCUUAAAUUUGCUAAAUAUGUAUUGGUAUUUAUAAUUUAGUUGCACAAUGCCGCAUUGUCGAUGGAUGUGUAAUUUGAAUGUGUAGGUUUGCUUUUUUAGGGAGUAUAAAAAAUAAGACGAAAAAAAUUAUCGAUCGGUCCCGAGUUAACCCUGGAAUCGGACCGAACCCAUUGGGUCAGUCCGGUCCUUGGUCCCAGGCUUAAUAGGGUCGGUUCUCGGUCCUAAAAAUCGAGGACCGACACUGUACGGGUUGGUCCUAGGGUUGGGGGUGGCCCGGACCAACCCGGACCAUGCUCACCCCUAGUUGAUAGGUCUAUGUUCAAUCCGCCAUAAUCAUGGCCCCUUGUCCUUUUCCCUCUCCUCCUCUCCUUUCUCCCCUAUCAAUUGUGUUUUGUCUUUUUUGGUGCUGUCAAAAUACCCAAAUGCCCUCUUGGCAAGGAAUUUAUUUAUCCUUUUCUUUAUGGUAUUGAUUUUAAUGAUAAACUAGGAUGAGGGCCUUUCUCCGUUCCUAAAAAAAUCUCUCGAUAUAGAUUUGGGAGUUUAAUAAAUAUACUUUUGGGGAUUCAAUGCUCUCAUGCUUUAUUCAUGUACAGAGUCUCUGCCCUAGUCUCAAUGAUGAUCGUAGGAGUUUUAGCAUCUCAUUGAAUUAUAAAGAUUUGUUCCUCCACACAUUAGAUAUGUGUUUAUCUAACAUAUUAUGGUUGUUUUCGUAUGAUGAUGGUAUAGAGGAAGCUGAAUCUAGGCUCGCACCAUCAACUAACGACAUCAUAAUUAUUGAAGAAGGAAUUUUUGGUGUGUACUCAUCACUGACACGGACUCAAGAUCUAGUGAUUGGUUGCUAAUUUUGUUUGGCAUAUCUGUUCAUGUGGAACGAGUUUAUGCUUAACUUUGCAAUUGCUCAAUCAAUCCUCCUUGGGUUCUGGAUUUGGCUUUGUUUUUUAGUAUUCAUGCUCUGUUCUGAUUUGCUUUGUCAUGAAAAUUAUGUACUUCUGCAUCCUUUUGAGUAAUGAAUAUAAUUUUCUUUCGACCGAAAAAAGAAAAAAGAAAAAAACUAAGUCAAGCCCCGACACCACAGCCAUUCAACCAUAGAUUUGUGGCUCUAGCGACCUCUGCCAGUCGUGAGUUCCAUGGACAUAGGUUUAUGAGCUCUGUGCAGAAAGAAAAAGAGACGAAGGCAUAGAAGAUAGACUUGAGCAGGUGAGGCGUUAACUCACCGAUGGAUUGAUGCAUGAAGUUGAGGGCUAGUGAUGCAAUGGGUGGGCAGCAAAUUCGGCAACGCUGAGUGUGCAAUUCCAUAAAAAAAAUCCUAACCUUUAUAUUUACUGUAAUACCAAUUAUCCAAGCUGUAUUUUUAUCAUCAAAAUCCCAAACUUAUAUGGUAACCAAAAAAUAUGUUCCAUCAAAGUUUGGUCCAAAAUAAAUGUCGAAAAUCUAACGUGGCAUCUUGGACAGCGACAAACUUAAAAAUUUGAAUAAAGCUUUUGAAAGAAAACUGGACUUAGCAACUUUUAGGAUCCAAAGAAGGGAGAUAAUCCACUUGGCGGUCCUUUUUGUAAAAGAAACGAGCUACACUUUUAACAUCGAAGGAAAAGUGGGAUGGAAUACAAAUUCUUGCUUUGCUUUUAUCCUUUUCCGCUUUGCACUUGAGACUCACAUUCGUCCACCUUGAUUUUAGCAUUUCACUUUUGGUCUUACUCCUUCUCGGGAGAAGAAAGCAUAUGAUGGAUCUCUCUUUAUUUGGAUGAAGAGACCAAAAUAUUCGACAUGCCCAGGUUUAGAAAUUUUUAUCUUUCCUUUUAUUUAGUUUAUUUUCUAGGUGAAUUUUGUUUAAACUCCACGACAACUCCUUCCACGUCGUUCAUUGACCUUUUCGCACGUUUCUUCCUUUGCUUCAAAUCCUUGAUCUUCCCCUCGUUGGCAUUGCUCUCUGCUCACACGCCUCCAAAACCCUAACCCGAUGCCCAUGGCCAUGGUCAUUUCCGGUGAUUGACGAACUGACCUCCUCAAAGUUGCCGGGGAGUGGAUGAUCGAUGUGAACGCUCCAACACCAGCAAGACCUUCAGACUUCGAUGGGUACUGAUGUGGACUAAAUGAACCUAUUGGUAUUUGAUAAGGAGGACAUGGAGGAAACACGGUGAGACAGCCAAGGAGGAAAAAUAAAAUCCCGCAAGAUACAAAGGUGUAAAAUUGUUUGGUUCCAGAAUUCAUGGGCUCUUAAGUCUUUUUGUACGUACAUCCGAAUUUGACAAAAACAAAAUUUAAAAUUGAAGCAAUUAAUCACGAUUGACUCUAUGAGUCAAAAAAGACUCUUGGGAAGUAUAAAAUUCAUCGAUUCGAGACCAACGGAAGAUCAAAUUUGUUUUCCAAUAGCUUUAGCUUUGAUUAAACUCCACUAAACUUUUGUUUUAGUAAAACAAACUCCAAAGGUCUCGUUGCAAUUUUUUUUUUAAUCGGACUCCUUCCAUUUAAAUUGAAAUUGAGUGUCCUCCAUUAUAGCUCAGAAGCUCCAAGAAGAAGAGAAAAUAGGUGGGAUCCCAUUGCCUUAACUCAUCUCUUUAUAAAGGAAAAGAGAGACUUUUCGUAUUAGAUGUGGGCCUUAACUAUCAAAGACCUUUACUCCUUCACCAUAGAAAUAUCAAGGAAAUAAAAAGGAAAGAUCUUUUUCAAUGACUUUUGGAUAGAUCAUUGAACUUAGAAGCCAUAGGAUUGGCUGAACAUGCAGAGAGAGUUGUGGGUCAGUUUGCUGCAAAAUUUGGUCAAUAAGGAUGAUUCCUUGAAGCAUCGAUCCAGCUUGCCAAAGUUGACAAUUAUUUACAUUUCUUAACACAAAAAAAUCACUAGACCAUGUGUUGCAAAAAUUUUGGGAUUAGAAUCGACUUAUGCCCCCCAAAUAAAUGGCAGAUUCAUUCAAAGUCAAGUCAACAAAAGCAGACAUCAAAUUUUGACAAUUGACAAGUGUAUCAAAUUGAGGUUUUAUCCUUUGUUUGUCACAUAUUUAUUGGUUUGUGCUUUUUCCUAGUAUUAAUCCUAUUUAACGGAAACUAAUGGAGGGUAAAUUUGUCACAAUGUGCUAGUUUGGAGUUUUUGGUGAUCAAAAAAUUAAUUUGAGAUAAAUUUAUCACGGGUAUAUAAGUUUGGGAUUUUUCGUUGUAUUAACUCUAAAAACAAUAAGAUUUAGAGAAAAACAACUUGGCAAGAAGGAAUCAUUACCCUUAUUUUCUUGCUACGCUUUAAAGUGAGAAGAAUAUACUUUAUCAAUGCUCAAUUUUUCUACAUUCCCAAAGCAUGAUUAAUCUAAUAUUUUACAAAUAUGAUUUCAUAAUUUCUAUCUUGAUUUCUUUGUAAUCGUUUUUAUUUCAAUGGAUUAUAGAAUUAAUGAAGAAGAUAUCAAUUCUAGUUUAUUAGUCAUUCCAAGUUACUUUUAACGAUACAAACUGCAUCUAGUGGAUUCACUUAUUACUAAUUACGAUAAAAUCAGUUUUUUUCAACUUGUUUUCACCAUAAUCAAUUUUUUCUGAUUCCCUUUCUCUAAAAUUGAAUUUCCUAAAAGCAUUUUCCUGCAGCAAAAAUCAGCGAGAUAAAGACAUCCUCAGAGUUGUUUUAUUUAUUUGAUUUUCUAAUUUCAUAUGAUAUUAUAUGAUGGGAGGAAAUUGUACGAUGAAAUUAUCAACGGAUAUGAGAAUUGGAGGGCAAUUUGUUGCCAUGUAAAUUUUGCGGGUGAGUGGGAGAACGAUCAGUCAGUGUUGGAUUUUACAGAGUGAUAUGGUGACCUUUUUUUCUCUUCUUUUUGAUAAAAUCACUACAUUUAUGGAUGUCUGUCUGCAAGGGACAAAGUACCAAAUGAAUGAACCAUUGGUGUGAUUCCUUCUUGAGCAAAGCUGGUUCAUCAUGGACUGUUGGUAGCCCAAGGCUUUGUGGACUUUGACUUUGCCCUUACUGGUAGACUGUUCUUUUAUUUAUCUAUCUUCUUUGGAGAGUGGUAGGUAAUGCAAUCUUUAAUCUAAUGAUUUUAUUUCGAUGCAAGACAAAAUUGUAUAUAUACCGCACUUCACAUGAUAACUAAAAAUUCUAUGUUUCACGAUGGAAAAAUAGCCACUUCACAACUGAAGUUUUACAAUGCUAACUCAACAACAGCCAAGGUAAGUUGCAUAUACCAAAAUUAGCUUCUGUCAACCAUUUUUUAGCCAAUAAAAGUCACUCGUAAAGUGUUGAUAUGUACGAUAUCGUAAGCUUUUCACGGUCCGAAUUAUGAUCAAUCCAAUGAUGAAUAAACCAAGCAUUGCCUCCUCUCCAUUGAUCUCAUUUGAUCUUUUCUUUGAGAAAAGAUUCAGACAUGGAAAAAAGUUCAGGAGCCCUACUUAUCAAGUGCUGCUAGGCCGAAAAAAAUAAAAAUCCUUGAUCAAAUGGUGGCCGCCAAUCAAUCAACUAUCAAAGUAAUUAACUCAUUGGGGACCUCAACCUUCAUUCACGGCGAAACUGGCCCGUGAGGAUCCAUGAAAAUCUUGUCAAAAAAGCAAAGUGAUAGUGAAAAGAAAUAAAGCAAUACGGCAAAGAAAAAGAAUAUGGAUUCUAGUGUGGAAAAGAAGACCCGCCAUUGCUUUAGCAUGUGCAUUUGGUAGUCCAAGUCUUCGUAUGCUUGGGUCAAUCAUUGGUUUGAUUCCUUCUUGGAGCAAAGCUGGUUCAUCAUGGACUGUUGUCAGUCCAAGUCUUCGUAGACUAACUUUGCCCUUCUAAUGCCGUGAUGUUUCAGUUCUCUUGCAACCCCUCGUAUGCUGUUCUGUCUUUUUUUUUCCUUCUCUCUUUUUGAGAGUGGUAGCCAAUGUUAAUGCCACGGUAAAACGAGGCACAGGGAGCUUAGGUUUUAGAUUGUUGGCAUUCGUAUCAAUAUCACAUCAAACAAUCUCAUACAAUUCAUAAUCUAAUGAUUGUAUUCAGUGCAACGCAAAAACUUACAUGUAUGCAGCACUUUCGUACUUUCCAUUUAGUUAAAUUAGAUGGUAUCAACUUUUUUUAUUGAUUGAUGAUAUAAUUGGCUAGACUAUUUAAAAAUCAAAGUAUUUCUAAAUAGAUAGUGUUUGUUUGCAAGUAUUUUUUUUUUUAUUUUCUAAAUCAAUUUUGUGGAAAUUAAACAUUCCGUGUUUCACAAUAGAAAACAAAAUCUCGCUAGAUCAGAGGUAUAAAGAUCCAUUCUGAAAUUCAUAAGUUCUUAAAUCUUUUCAGGCAUAAAUCCAAGUGUGAAAAAAACCAACAUUUAAGAUUGAAGUUAUUAAUCGCAAUGACUUGAUGAGUCAAAAAACACUUUUGGGAAGUAUCGAAUUCCCAUUUGAGUAGCAUCUAUUUUCACAAAUCUAUUUAUUCACUUGCUAAAUAUUAAAUCAUGAUUUGAUCAUAUCACUCAAUGUAUCGAUUUUAGUAUACUUAUUUAAAUUUCUUGUAAAUAACUUAGAUUUAUUGGUUAAACUUCAAAUGAUGAAGAGCUCAUGCUUAUUGAGUAAAAGUGCACAUAUUUUUAACAACAUUAAAAGAAAAAAAAUCCACAUCUUGCUAGCAGUUAAAAUUAAAAUGCUAUCUGUUAUGUGAAAUGUUGAAUGCAUGUUAUUUUACAAAAUUCUUAUAGUAAUUAACCCACCGAGGACCUCAAUAGUCAUUCACGGCAAAACUGCCUUGAAGAAUCCGAGGAAAAUUCUUGUUAAAAAGCAAAGUGAAUGAUGAAAAGAAAUAAAGCAAUGCAGCAAAGAAAAAGAAGGGGUCAUCCUAAUGUGGAAAAGAAGUCCCGCCAAUGCUUUAGCGUGUGCCUUUGGUAGUCCAAGUCUUCGUAGACUUGGGUCAACAUUGGUGUGAUUCCUUCUUGAGCAAGCUGGUUCAUCAUGGACUGUUGGUAGUCCAAGUCUUCGUAGACUUUGACUUGGGUCAAUCAUUGGUUUCAGUCUUCUUGCACCACCCACACGCUGUUUUGUCUGAUUUUUUUCUCUUUCUGAGAGUGGUAGCUCAUGCUAAUAGCACGUUAAGACGAGGCACAUGGAGCUUAGGUUUUGGAUUGUUGGCGUCCUUAUCAAAAUCACAUCAACCCAUCUCACGCAAUUCUUAAUCUAGUGAAUGUAUUUUGAUGCAACACAAAAUUAUAUGUAUGCGACACAUUCCAUUUCCAUUUAGUUAAAUUAGAUGGUUCCAACUUUUUUAUUGAUUGAUGACAUGAUUGACUAAAUUUUCAAGAGAGAAGUUUUUUUUGGACAUAUAGUGUUUCUUUGCAAGUAUUUUUCUAUUUUUUGAAUCGAUUUUGUGAUAACUAAACAUUCCUUGUUUCACGAUAGAAAACAAAAUCUCUCUAGAUCUGGAGGUGUAAAAUUGUUCCAUUUCGUAAUUCAAUGUUCUUAAGUCUUUCCAGGCAUAAAUCCAAGUGUGACAAAAAAAAAAUUAAGAUUGAAGUUAUUAAAUCACGAUGACUCAAUGAGUUAAAAGGAAGAAUCUUGGGAAGAAUCAAAUUUCUUGAAUUGAGAUCGAUGGAAGAUUGAAUUUGUUAUCCGAUAGCUUUAGCUUUCAUUGUCACUCCACUAAAAUUUUGUUUUAGUAAAAUGAAAAUCUCGUCCCAAUUUUUUUUUUUUGAAAUCAGACACCCCCCAUUUGAAUCAAAAUUGAGCUUCCUCCUUUAGCUCAAAAGCUCGGGAAGAAGAGAAAAUAUGUGGGAUCCUAUUGCCUAAUUCUUACUCAUUUUAAAGGAAAAGAAAGACUUCUCAUACAAAUGUGGACCUUAAUUAUCGAUACAUUUUUUCCUUUACCCUAGAAUAUGCAGAGAGUCAUGGGCCAGUUUUGCUGCAAAAUUGGUCAGCAAGGAUGCUUCCUUGCAGCAUCAUUGCGGCCUGUCAACCGUGAAAAAAUAUUACGUUUCUUAACGAGGAAAAUCACUAGACUAUGUGGUGCAGAAAUUUUGGGAUAAGAAUCUACUUUUGCCCCAAUAUAAUUCAUUCAAAGUCAAGUCAACAAAAGCUGACACGGAACUUCCAAAACAAGUUCGUUUCCCCAUCCUAAUUAAGGUGAACUCCGGUCGGUCCAAUUUAAUGGGCUGAUCAGGCCCAGGCCCGGAAUAACUCUGAAGCAUAAAGCCUAGUGGAAUUAUUGUCAAAGCACUCCCUAGUGAUCAAUUGAAUUAAGAAAAGAUUACAUUUUAUUUCGAAGGUGAACCAUCCUUCGCAUUUAACCUGUUGUUAGUGUCAAAAAUUGCUUGUCACAAAACGUUGUAGUUGAACAUUAAAUCCAUGCAUUGUGCUGAUUAUUAUACAAAACAUUACUAAAAUAGAGUACACAAAACCAAUGUGUAAGCACGGUCUUGUGUCAUAUUAAAACUUUGAGCCACCAACAAGUGUGGUAAAUAAGCUCACGAACAUGAUGUGACCUAUUAGAUCUCAUUUGGAAUUUAACUUAAUUAGCAUUUCCACAUUCACAAUUGAACUCGAAAGCCUCUAUGAUGACCAGGAAAAGUUUAGUGAAGCCUCUCUAAUGACUAUAAUGAUUAAAAAAAAAUAUUGACUCCCCCGGAAUUCAAGUAUGAAAGUUUUCUAUUUUAAAUAAUGUUUCGGAGGUGUGGCUCUUUGCUCUCUUAGUUAAUGUUUGUGGAUUAUCUAUUACAAAGGGGGGAAAAGAGGCAAAAAUAAAAGAACUUAUGGACAACAUGAGACUAUUCCAUGUUAAAAUUUGAGAAUUGGAAAAAAAUUUGCCACGCUUCUAUUAAUUUGAAAUUAAAUGAUUUGGGUUGCUAUUUCAGAUUUACCUCAACAUUAGAUGAUGUCAAACCAAGUCCAUUUGCAGCUAGAAACAUUUUUUAGUAUAAUUAAUAAUUGAAAUGGCUCCUCUUCAACUUCUGUGAAUCCAACUUAAGAGCCAUGCUUUACUUGAAAAACAAAUUGGACAUGCAUUUACCGAUGUAGAGUAUUAAUUUUCUUCACGUCGUAAUUUUGUGUUGGUUAUUGUCAUAGAGGUGAUGCCAUAAGUGCUAAGAUACUUUCACACACAUUGUAAUAGCUGCUUUGACGUAUACGGUAUUAUGAAGUUAUCGUUCUCCUGCGUGAAGAAAGCAAAAAUGAUACUUAGCUCUUUGUUGGUUGAUCUCCAACUUGAAAAGUUUGCUUUUACAUGGAAAUGAACAAAUAUUGGACAAGGAAGAAAAAAGGGGAAAAACUCAAGUCUAAGUGCAUAUGGCACCAAAAGGAAAUCUAAUUUCGAUAAGACUAGAUAUGAAUCAUAGUUCAGAUUCAAGUUGAUUCAGUGAGGGCGACUGCAAAAGUCACCGAAUGGGUCAGUCUUUUCCUUUAGUUUUUGUCCUAUUUAAUAAAAUAAAAAAGCGUGGGAGGAUGUUGCAGAUGUCCAGGAUGGACACGACUUCUUGUAACACUAGAAAACCACUAGAAGACACUCGGGACCAAAGCAUGUUGUGAAAGAAGCACAUUGGGGCAUUGACCAAUUUCAAAUAUAGUAAGACCAAGCAACAAAUUAUAAGGUAUCUAAAAAACACCACAUAAUAUAUUGACAAAAUAAGGCACUUGGAGUUUAUAUAAUUUGACCCGACCUCACUAGGUAAGUUAAUUAGCAAAUCAAGCCAUUGAAACAUAUAAACCAAGCCAAACCAUACCAAAACAAAGAAGAUCUGAACAAGGUUAUUUGCAGAAAUAUAUCACUAGUCAACAUGCAAAGUGCACAUAAAAAGAAGAUUUACAUAAACCUCUUUGUAAGUCAUAUGUUUAACAGAAUAGGAGGCACUUCUUAUCAGACAAAAAAAGUACUCAACAGUGCAGAUGUCCAUUUUUUUUUUCUUCCGCAGAAAUUUGCCAAGUUUGAUCAAGCAACUCCUUAAUGUGCUGAGUUUCCAAAUCUCCUGUGGUGAAGAAUGCCUAUUUGUUUCAAUUUCCUCCACAUUGAUACAUCAGAAACAUCAGGAUAGAGUUGCCAGAGAAGAUAUGCAAAUUGUCCAGUGAUUUUGGUCAACCAGAUUACCACAAUGAUCUAAAUGAAAAUCCAUUAGUUUCUUCAAGCCACUCAGUCGGCCAAUCUGUCCAGUCGGUUGAGUUCGUUCAGCUCCAAAUUCCAGAUUUAGUCUGGUGGCAUCUUUAUUCACUUGCAGUUUCUCAAAGACUAGCGUUCAAGGCUUAUGAUGGUAACCAAUCGAGUGAGGAAGCUCCAAGAUCCCAGUUCCUUACAGAGAAAGCCUCAACAGGGAAGUCGGGUAACUGAUUGAAGGUUUUGUAGUCAGUGAGGAACGGUGGCAAGCACAGAGAAUUUCUAGACUCUUCAAUCCUUGACAUUCAAGCAUAUGAUUCAUUGAUGUCCCAUCAAUCAAGGGUUCUCUCAAACAUUCCAUUUUACUAGGCUCCUAGGGAGAUGGUGGAGAUCAAUCUUUCUAAAUGCACAUGUAUCUGAAAUCUAGCAUCUAACAGAACCAUUUUGACAUCGAAAGGUCCACCUGAUCUGACUGAAUUGAGGUCAUAUAGCAAUCUCUUCCAAGGCAGUAAGCCCAUGUCAGACUUUCCCCCUCCAUCUUGGUAGUUUGUAGAUGUACGUUCCCGAUAAGUUAGAGACUGUUGAUGUUUGUCCAUCUUGGUAGUUCUUACAAUAUUUUCUGUUCGUGUGAAGUCCUCCGAGAUGCACUAACCGAGACAUACUCCUUUGAUCAUUUUAUUCAAAUCAAUUCACUGUUCCCGCUGCUCCAUGGUUUAUAGCAGCAUCGUCAUAUGGACCACCCAUCUCCAGUGAUCUUACUUGUGCUUAGACUCCUCUGGAAGAAAUAUUUGAACAGAACAGCAGAAACAACGAUGGUAGCAACUGUCACCACACACAGGACAACCUCAAGUUUAUCAAUCGUUUUGCGCCAGCACAGGUCCACCUUGGCAGAAACUACAAUUGUUGAGCUGCUGCUGCUGCUGCUCCUCCUCGGAGGCGUCAGACGACGCCUGCUGGUUCCAGCUUGGUUGUCACUGCUCGUUCGAGAAAGAGAGAGAGAGAGGCCGAAUCGGAAUCCGAAGUGACGAUCUGAAAUAAAAAUGGGAGGAGGAGAGAGUCGGAGGGGGAUGGUGGGAUACUCGAAGUCGUAUCGGAGUCAGUGUCGGAAACUGGAGGAAGCAGAGGAGGGUUCUUUGCGUCUUUUCGUAUUUUUGUUUUAAUUUCUUUUCACGCUUUUCCUUUUUAUCUUUCGGAGUUUGGUUUUUUUCCUUUCGGUUGCUCUUUUCAUUUUUCGCUACAUGCGAGUGGCCCGAAGAUUUUCCGCCAGUAAGAGAGGAAAGGGGGGAGGGGGGAUUGUAUUUUCGUUUCCCCUGCUGCAGAAUUGAAGGUGACAGCGUCAGCUCCCGCGCGAGACGGGACUUGCGGGUCGAGGACUAGAGGCGGUCCGACCUUCUCUUGCUGCCUGACGCAACCAAUUCUUAACGUUGCAGUCUCACGUACACUGUGGAAGAUUAAAUUUGAACCAAAACUACUCAGUUUACGUACGUAUACAGGCCUGUCAUUGCUGUCUUACCAGCGUGCUAGAAGCUGGGAAAUAUCUCCAUAUGAGGUAGCGAUAUAUGCAGGAUACAACCUCGCCGAGGAUUCGCUCACAAUGUGAUUCAAAUGAUUCAAUUCAUGGAAAACAAUGUGACCCGCCUAAUGUUAAGUCACCGCAUUUGCGGUGGGCUACGAUCUUUUCACCUUCAUUGUUCUUUCUUUUUCAAAUUGUUUCAAGUGAAUGAGUCGUGUAUGAAUUUGACAAAAGCACGAGAGGUGCAUAAAUCUGUUUCGUGCUUAUUAGCACCUAAGUUUGACGAGUGACUGAUCUAUCAAUACUGGCCAUAAAUGAAGAGAUUUGGUGAUUGUUCUCUGCAAAAAGUUACUGUUGCACCCUUCAUGCUCUUGAAUCACACCUUGUUCUUCACUUCCGAUUGUUGUUUUGUGUACUAACUUCUCUGUAUUUUGGAAUAACACGAAUUUUCAGAUUAAGCUUGAAUCUGAAAAUAUUUGACUGGAGAAGUUUGCCAUCAUAAUGAAGUAAUUGCAAUUUCAUAUACCUCCACUAAUAUAAGUAAACAUUAUAUCAAUUUUAAUUUGAGUGUAUAGUAACCAACUAAUUGAACCGUAGAGCACCCAUUUGUCCAACAGAAUGUCUCAUUCUCUUUGGCUAAAAUACAACAGAAGGCAUCCCCAUGCAGUCUUUCUGAAAGUUCUGAAUUAAGCAAAACUUACUUCAGUGCUCUAAUGCACAUGACGUAAAUCACUGAAUGUGACAUUGAAAAUGCCUACCGACAAAAUAUGAUCCCAAGGGCAAAUCAAGAAAGAUCGUAAAGAAUAUGGAACGGAACAAAUUGCGUUUGAGGGUGAUGGUUGUUUUGACAUGCUUGAUUGCUGCAAAGUGAGGCGAUACUCAAUCAUAAGUUCUGAUAGUUUCUUCAAGUUUGAUAGGUCAAUCAAUGUAUCCGUCAACUGGCAAUGUCCGAUUCAUAAGGGCAAUAAACUUGAGGGAAGCAUUGGGAGGCAGCACAGACAUUCUGUUGUUAAAAUAUGUCUGCGAAAUGGGUAGAACAAUGAAAUCGGAUCGAGUAAAAACAACUCGGACUUUGAAGCGUGAUAUCACUUUCUUUAAGGAUUUAUUUGCCCCACUACGUUGCUAAUGGUCACCGGCAAAUUUCCUCCAGGAUACAACAAAGUCUCGGAUGAGAAUACUAGAUAGCAAUUCUAAUAUUUCUCCAGGGUCUCUCUAAGAAACAAUCGAAAAAUUGGCUGCUGUUUUUUCAAAAAGAGGACUCGAAAAUGACCAUAAUUCUUUCCGGAAAAUGACAAGUAUUUAUAUGAAACGGUCUUGCAACUCUUCGUGAAAAUUGCGAACAAACACGUCUUUAGAAAAUUGUUCGGAUAAACAAAUGCGACUCUUCGGAAGAAGUCGAAAACCGAACAAUUGCAAUCCUUCGGAAAAAUUAAAACCGAAUAAGUAAUUUUCCAAAGGUUGUCUUGAAAAAACACAAAUAAAAUUCGGAAUAAUUAUUAUUAUUUUUUAAAUAGAAUUUCGAAUUUUCAUUUCCGAAAUUCUCAAAUUAAAAGGCAACCUUUGAACUAAAAUAUAAAAUAAAAUAAAAUAAAAUAAAUAAAAAGCAAGGGAUUAAUGCUAAUUAUCCGCGCACCCGCACGCGGGUAUGGUGGGUCUAGCCCCACCUAAUCACUCCUUUAACUACAAAAGGAAAUUCCUCAUUAAUAAACUAAUCCUCCUGCUCCCACCUUUUCUAUGUGGGACAAAGUAAAAAGCACUUAUUUUGUUUUAACAAACAAAAUUCCAACACAUUCAUUAGAGAGUUCAAGUCUCCUGAGAUGAGAAAGCUGUGCAAUAUAUGGUGAUAUGGUGGUCAUUGUUGAAGAGGACAACUCUAAAGACUCUAGUUUGUUUAACCUACUGAUCCACCUAGAGAUAGCAUCUUCCACAAGCUUAGACGGGUCAACGAGCCGAGGAGACUUUUGGCAUCCCAAAGACAAAUGUCUCAAGCUUUUCAAGUUCAAGAGAUUGGAAAUGCUAUCAUCAGGUCACUGCUCGGUAUGAAUAUGUAGACAAAGAAGAAUUUCUAGGAGUCUCAGCACUUGGGGUAUCUCAACACAUGUCGGUUUCAAAAUCUUCCAAGAUGAACAUCUCCAGAUAUCAUAGGAAUUUCUGAUUAGCAAAUUUUCACUAAGCUCUUCAUCUAUUCUUCUAGCUAUUCCUGCUUCCAUACUGCACUAGUUAUCAUUUUCAUGAUAGAGAACCUAAUCUUCAAUACUUGCAAAUACUUCAUGUUCCCGACCAACAAGGCAGCUUCUCUAUGUCCAUGUUCAAUAUAUCGAACUUAGCAAGUGAUUCCAAAUUCCAGAUCGAGUCUAGUAGUGUCUUUAUUGACUUGCAGUUCCUGGAAGACUAGUGUUCGAGGCUUACAAGGGAUCUACUUGAACUGGGAAGCUCCACGAUCCCAGCUCCUCACAGAGAAAGCCUCGAUAGGGAAGUUAGGUGACAGAUUGAAGGUUUAAUAGUCAGUGAGAAACGAUGGGAAGCACAGAGGACCUGCAAGCUCUUCAAUUCUUGACAUUCAGGCUUAUGCUUUAUUGAGAUUAUACGGCAAUCCCUUUAAGGCAGUUAAGUCCGUGUCAGACUUUCCCCUUCCAUCUUGGUAAUUCGUAGAUGCAUAUUCCCUUUUAAGAUAGAGAUUGUUGAUGUUUGUCUGUUAAAACAAGUAUGCAAAAUUGCAAAUCGAACAAAGUUAACGUCUAGCAAGCUAGUCGCCAUAUCUUUUUCCCAAAAAUCAUGUACUUUUUAUUCGUGUGAAGUCCUCCAUUAGGUACUAACCGAGUUAUCCAGAGUUAGUUUCAUUGUUUGAUUCCAUCAUUUCUCCGUUCACGCUGCUCCAUGGUUUAUAGCAGAAUUUCUCCAAUGAUCUUACAAAGCUGCUCUUAGUCUUCUCUGCUCCAUGGUCUAUAGUAGCAACUGUCGCCACACAAAAUGCAACCUCUAGAGGUGAACCGUUUUGCACCAGUACAAGUGGUCCACCUCAGCAGAAACAACAAUUGUUGAGCUGCACGAGGACUGGGGGUGGUCUGACUUGGCCUCACCUCCCAAGUCGCAAUGGGUCCGGAUUUUUUUUUUUUUGAUAAAUUAAAAAGUGUGGGAAGAGAUGACCAAUACGAUUAUCCAUUCUUGUUGUUACAUAAAGUGUUGUGUACAUCACAAAAUAUCUCCAUUGAGCCAUAACCACUUAAUCCAUCAACAAGUGUGCGAAUCUAUCACCAUAACUAAUAUGCCAAAAGCUUGAAAAUAUUUCCACAUAAUGUUGUGAAUACCUAAAAUACUAACGGGUGAAAAGUCCACUCAUGACAUGAUUCGAACUUACGAAAUGAUAGAAGAUGGCAUGAUCACUUCAUCAUUGGGUUAUCGUGCUUGGGGUUGGAUUGCGAUUGCAACACUUUCAAUGAAUGAGUGGUGCAUGAGCCUGAUCCAAAAAGGAGUGAUUUAUAAAUCUGUUUUGUACUUAUAAACUUUGACUUAAGUCCAAUGAGGUGUCGAUGUGUUUGUGUUACCAAUAAAAGAAGAGGUUUGAUGACUGGUUUCUACAAAAUUGAUUAAUUUACUCUUCAUAAUUUUCUCUUGAGUUUCACUUAUUAUUUAACUUCCACCUUUUUGUUUUGUGUACUAACUUUUCUAUGCUUUUAUAAACAUUUGACUGUGAAUAUAAAUCCGUGAGAACCACCAAACAUCGUGCCUGCCACGCAUCAGGGUUCUUAUAUUAUUUUGCUUGCGUGAGCUAAUUGCAAUUUAAGGAAAAAAAAUCUUCCACGUUCUUUGAUAAUUUGAAAAUGACAUUUUGUGUCUUUUGUUGCGUGAGAUUACAAACUCUUUUUACUUCAAACACACUCGAUGAAAAAGUCCAAUGACUUUUGUUCUCAAAGAUUACAGACAUUUUUACUUGUUUAAAUCUUUUACAUGUAAAGUAGUCAAUCCCAAUGAUUGUACAACUCAUAUAUCAAAUGAGCAAUUAUAUCAUUUUAUGAGAUGGUCAUUAAUCCGAUCGUAUUAACACUAAAUAUUUUGUAAAUUUUAAAUAAAACAACCCAGCUCAAGCUAUUGCAUAUACGUUCAUCUAAAAAUAAAAGCAAAAAUUAUCAAAUCCACAUUCAUAUAAAUUUUAAAGAAAAGAAUCAAUUUGUCAUGAUAAGUCACGCUCUCAACUCAAGAGAAGUGGGGCCCACAAUCUACAAUUAAGCUUAACUCACUUGUCUCGCGUGUUGAAUAAUAUUCUUUUCAUGUUCGAAUAUUAUUGGCAAAGAAAAAUUUUGAAUAAUUCGAAUUAUUGGAUUGAUUCGAGCUUGGAAUCGGAAAAAUUUGACUCAAAGAAGCUUGUGAUCAAAGGAAGCGCCAAAAGAGGAGAAACAGAGAGAACGAAAAUUUGUCCAGGAGCACGCCUCGUUUAGCCAAACUUCCUUCAUUGCCCUCACGGAAACGACGAAAUCACCGGACGUGACACUGAAUUUGCCCGCCGACAGAGCAAGAGCCCAAGGUCGAAUCAGGAAAAUUCGCAAAUCCGUCGUCCUCUCCUUCCCUUCCCCACCACCCAAAAACAAAUGCUCGCCGUAGCUUUCGAUCGCCAUCCGCCGCGAAAAUCGCUACGGAGUCCACGAACGCUGUGAAGACCAGGAUUCGAGGGUUGAAUUCAAGCAAUGCGGACGAAGACCGCAAUCGAUAUCUCCAUCUCGCCGGGCGAUCGCGCCAUUUUGAUUGCGUGAGAUUGGAAUGAUGUUGUUGCUCGACAGAAUGUGGAGUUGAGGGUGAUGGUUGUUCUGAAGUGCUUCAUUGCCGCGGGUGGAGGCCAGAGGUAAUUGCAAUUCGUGUUCAUGUAAUCAAUUACUGCUCUGAUCCUCCCACUUGAUUGGGAUUGGGAGUCUAGUAUCGAGCAUGUCGGUUUUGAGGUUGGACUGUGAGAUUUGUAGUGUGAAUUUGGUGGAUUAGGCACUUCAGGGUUUGGGGGGAUCGUCGACUGUGUUGUGGAGCUGUAGUGCCUGAUUUAAUGGGGCAUACUAUUGCUGAAUUAUUUGGUUGGAUUAACUAAGCUCUUGGAUUACCGAGUUUGGAUCGAUACUACAACUGGAAUAUGGUCAGAUUGAUCGAAUUUCCAUAUAUUUGUUGGAUACAAAUAUUUCAUCCUGCUGUUUCUACUUUGGGGGUAAAAUUUGUUGAGUGUCUCACAGUGAUUGACUAUCGGCUAUUCGGCCUUUCUCCUGUCAAGUAAUGGACUGUAGCUUGUAGGUAUCAGCAGACUAGCUUUAUGGGAAAGAGGAGCCUUAUGUUGUUCACGUGUUCGCCUUUCAUUGCAUUUGAACAUAUAGUUCUUUAAGUUCACGAACAAGGAUGGCAGAAAUAUACUGAAAUAUUAUUUUGAGCUGAUGUUUCCUUGAAGUGAUCCUCUUACUCGAUUGUCGAAAUAGCUUGCUAGAGACAUGAGAAACUUGCGGAAUAACUGCAAAGAUAGCCACAUGAUGUGGAGUUAAGAGGGGCAGCAAAUUGGCGAAACAAACAAAGACAGUACAUAUCAAGAUUAAAAAACCCUAAUCACACGAAAUUGUAUGCACUGAAAUGAUUGGCACAGAUCUUGAAGUGAUCCUCUUACUCGAUUGUCGAAAUAGCUUGCUAGAGACAUAAGAAACUUGCUCCAUUGCUUGUAAUUGGAUGAGCUUUUGACCACAUUUUCAAUGUGAAAUUUUCUCAACUGGUAAAUGCAGAACUCAGACUGAGGUCCAAGGCUUGUAAAGCUGUUUACAAUCGCACUCUUGCCAUGACAUUUGCAGAGUAUGCAUCUGCUGUAAGUGUUCUUUAUAAGGAUUUUCACAUUUACCUAGAGCUUGUUGUUGUUAUUAAUUUUCAGGUUUCACCAUUUAAAUACAAUAACAUUGUAACUAGAUGCACAGCUUUUUAUUUUGCAGGUUUAACGUCAGAUUUGACAGAACUUAGUAGUUGGAUUUGUCCUAGAUGUGAUGGAAAGACCCAGGUAAUUUAAUAUGGUUUAAUAUGACAUUGUUGCUAAGGUUGCCUGAAGAAUGGAUCCUCAGUACAGUAUUAUAUGGCCAAUUCUUCUGAUGAGAUUUUGUGGGCAUAUGCUGCCUCCUCUUAUUAGAUUCUGAACUGGUAAUUAAUGCCUUUUGAUAUGAAAGCAGGGGUUUGAAUUCAUUGAAUUGAUAGUGAGCAUUCAACACUGCUUAUGUGCAGAUUAUUUGGUUGCAGUGGCUUACCAAUCUGCAAUGCUUGCAAUGCCUGUAUGUUUAAAUUGCAUCUAAUUGUUUAUAUCUAUUUCUAAACGUGCAUAUAUGUUACCUGUAGGCAUACGUUGGGGUGGCCAAGGAUCUUAAUGCUGUGAUUAUAGCUUUUAGAGGUGCACAGGAACAUGGGUAUGCAUGUUAACAUUAGCAACUCCUCCCCUUACAAAUGACUUGCAAAGGAUUUGAUGAAAAUUUAAGCUAAGAAGAGUAGCCUCCUGUGAGUGCAUACACAAGACCCAUAGGUCAGCUGUCCAUAAGAAGGGAAAAGGGUGAAUCAUUUCCACCAAGAUGCGAAAGUUACCUUCUUGUAAUUUUAGAUUGGUUCAUGAGAAGAUCACAUACUUAACUAAUUUUAUUCUGUGAAAAAUUCUGUCACCUCUCUUUGUCAUUUGAGCUUUUCAGUUAGUGAUUACUUAUACUUAUGUCUACAGCAUACAGAAUUGGGUUGAAGAUCUCUACUGGAUAGUGGAAACAGCUUGAUGUACUACCCUGGCGUGCAUACUACCCUGGCGUGCAUGGUGCCCUGGAUAGUUCUAGAGAUGAUAUGCCUCUUGCAAGCUGUGGAUUCUUCUCGUUUGGAUUGAGUUACAGCCUUACUCUAUUGAUUGUUGCUUGGGUUCAUCAUGGAUUUUACUAUACUUAUCACAAUAUGACAAUUCAACCUGGAAUUUUGGAUGCUGUUUUAAGAACCAAGGAUUUAUAAGGUGACAUCAAUGUCAUGGUGACAGAGCAUUCUAUGGGAGGGGCUAUGGCAUCCUUUUGCGGACUUGAUCUUGUGGUAAGAUAGUUAAAAACUGUUAUGGUCUGGACUUGUGAAUUUUAUUGGUUUUUUUUUUCCUUCUUCUAUCACAUUCUUCCAAUAUUCAUAUGGUAAUCUGUUAAGAGUCAACUGGAAUUCUCUGCCAAAUCUGUGCUGAAGAGUCUAGGCUAUUUAUAUAAAUCUUGAACUUUGUAUUGCUCUCAUAUUUAUAUUCACAAUUCGUCAUAGACAGCAUCUUGUUUUCUUUCAGUUUUGGUAAGUCAAACCCUAGACAAAACACAAGCAGAAUGGUGCAAACAGCCAUUUAUGCUAACCACCAAUUGUUUAAGUAUCUGGCAGUGUGAAUUGAGUCUUACCCAUUAAGCUAUGGAGCUUCAAGUUGGUUGAAUACCUAAUUAUAGUGGAUAAGGUCACUUCAGACGAAUCAUUACAAAGUUUACUUGCAAUGGAAUUGUUGAUAUGUUUAUGGUCUGGACAUAUAACUUUUUAAAGCACUUGAAGCUCUAGUUUUAUGUCAUGUAAUCUUGAGGUGCUAAUGCAUUUUAAGAUAGAUUAAAUAUUGAUCCUAAAUUUGUGUUUUGUGUACUAUUUCUGUCUAAGUCUCUCUAAUCAAAAGAAGCAGCUCCUUUUCAGUAGGACUACAAGACCAGAUAUGUUGUAGGUUGAAGCCAAUGUUGAGAUGUCUAAAUAAUGCCUUUUCUCUCAGUUUUAUUGGACAGAGUGUUCUAGGGUACUUUUGUAGGCACCUGUUGCACAACUAGUACCAGAAAUGGUGCCCGAUCCAAAUUCAUGUCCCAUUGAUUCUUUUCUCAUUGACAAGUGGUGAUUUUUUAGAGUUAAAUUUUAUCUUGAAGUCUGAUUACACUAAUGUUCGUGUGGCCUAUGAUAGGAUCAUAGGUUGCAGGGACUUUAGACUAUGCCCUUUCCUCAAAGUAUUAGUAGCAAGUAUAACAUCUUGUCCUAAAACUUUUUAAAUGAUUUAAAUUUUUUUUUUUCUGGUUUCUUGCCAAAUAUUUUGUUGAGCCAAUUGUGACAUCAUGUCCAUCCGUUGCAGUCCUGUUUAAGAUUGAGUUUCUCCUUCGCUACUUGUGUCAGUAAGUUUUGUAGUUCAAGGGGCCUUUUUACCAGGAACCAGGAAUUUUUUGUUUAUGUUGUUAGCAGGAUGUGACUAACCCCACCAACAUCCAAGUGCUUCUUGUAGAAGCAAUUAAAUGCGCUUCUGUCGUAAGUUUGCGCCCAAUCCCACUAUUCCAUACUAUUAACACCUUUUUGUGGUGCUGAGGGUGGGUUUGGUUUUGUUGUGUGUGGGGUUUGGUGUUGGGUAACUCAUGGAUGGGAUCUUGACAGAGUUAACGCUAGACCUUCAACCCUUAUGGAGACAAAGGGCUGCUCUAUUGUUCACCUUCGUAUAUGAAGUGCAAUAUAUGGUUAUUGAUGCAUAGUGUUUCCUUCCCGUCUUGAAAUGGCUAUUGACGUAUUAACAUUGAAUUUAUUUGGCUAUCUAAUUAUUUGUGCUGAAGCUGUCUUGUCCAGACCAGCAUCCACUUGAUUUACUUAUAUAACCGAACCACUUUAUUUCCUAGUUAAUCAUGAAGCGCGGAAUAUUCACGUUUUAACAUUUGGACAGCCUUGUAUUGGCAAUGCAGUGUUUGCGUCUUACUACAGUGACUGCAUAUAAAAAACAUUACGUAUUCCUACUGGACAAGAUGAUUUGUCUCCUUUGCCUCUUUACUAUUUUCGGUUCCCACGGAAGACGUAACGUCAAUUCCCUAGAGAGGUAUGGCGUUGAUCUUGAUAGAAUAUCAAAUUUAUGGGGAAUUGUCGAUGACUGAAUUUGAGGUUUGCUUCGCAUUUCUUUCAACCUGUCUAACAAGUGAAGUAUCAUAUAUUCCGGCAUAGUAUGUACUCUCUUUUUUAAGCAUAUAAAUUAUGACUUUCUUGUUUGUUUUUCUUGUUAACAAAGCAGGGUAGUUCGUAGGACUCAUUACCUCUUAAAAAUGUUUUAACUCUCAUUCCUGCAAAAGCCAUCAUGAGUUUUUCAUAUUGAUUCCAAUGUUUAAGACAUGUAAUAAUGUUUACUACGUUCUCUCUUUCAAAUCUGUAUGUCUACUAAUGCAUAUAGUUAUUGGUGACUAGCUCAAAGACAGCCACGGAUAAACAUAUUAAUGAAGUUAACGUCCUCCUACAUGAAGCAUUGGGAUCGACCAGUUUCAGAUUAAGACAAAAUAGCAAUUUAUAAGGUAUCUCAGAUAAAUCACUGCACAGUAAAUUGACAAAACAAUGCUCUUGGAAUUUAUAUAAAUUGACUAGACCUCACUAGGUAAGUUAAUUAGCAAUUCAAAGCCACCGAAACAUCUAAACCAAACCAAAACAAAACAAAGAAGAUCUGAACAAAGGUACUUGUAGAACUAUAUCACUAGUCAACAUGCAAAGUUCACAUAAAAGAAGAUUUACAUGAGCCUCUUUGUAAUUCAUAUGUACAACAGAAUAUGAAGCACUUCUUAUCAGAAAAAAAGUACUCAACAAGGCAUGCGUCCAAUUUUUUUUUUCUUCCCCAGAAAUUUGCUAAGUUUGAUCAAGCAACUCCAUAAUGUACUGAGUUUCCAAAUCUCCCAUGGUGGAUGCCUGUUCAUUUUAAUUUUUUUCCACAUUGAUACAUUAGAAACUACAGGAUAUAGUUGCCGGAGAAGAUAAACAAAUUGUGCGGCAAUUCUGGUUAACCAGAUUAUCACAAUUAUGUAAAUGAAAAGCCACUAGUUUCUUCAAGCCACUUAGGGUGCGCAUGACAAAAUUUCUGGAAUAGAAAUUGAUUUUUAGCCAGAAAUUGAGAAAUCAGAAAUUGAGAAGCUAAAAAUUUUAGUUUCUGAUUUCUUCUUCAAAUCUAUUUCUGGAAUAGAAAUCUAUUUCAGAAAUAGAAAAAUCAAAUUGCGUUACCAAACGGAUUUCUGUUCCAAACCUGUUCCGGGGAACAGAGAAAUCAAGAAAUAGAAAUUUUAUCAUGCGCAGCCUUAGUCGGCCAAUCUAUCCAGUGGGUUGGGUUCAUUCAGCUCCAAAGUUCUAAGAUUCUCCGGACUUUCAAGGCCUCAAGUCUCUGUAAAUAGUUUCCUUAAGUUUGAUAGGUCUAUUGGUGUAUGCAUUGACUAUGCCUGAUACAUAUGGACGGUAAAUUUGAGGGCAGCCUUGGGAGGCACCGCAGACAUUCUCGCUAGAGUUUAGGUCUCUUAAGAUGAGAAACCUGUUCUAUAUCUGGUGAUAAGAUCGUCAUUAUCGAAGAGGACAACUCUAAAGACUCCAAUAUGUGUAACCUCUCGAUCAACUAUGGAUAGGAGCUUUCACAAGCUUUUCAACUGGGUGAAGAGAAUUUCGGAUUUCCUGGGACUAAUCCCUUGAGCUUUUAAAGUUUGGGAGACAAAAAAAUGCCAUCAUCAAUUAAGUAGGACUGUGUAGACAGACAAGACUUUCUGGGAGCCUGGUACUUGGUGUAUCUCAGCACAUGUCAAUUUCAAGAUCCUACAAGAGGAAUAUCUCCAGAUAUCAUUGAUAUUUCUAUUAGCAAAUUUCCACUAAGCUCUGCAUCUUCUAGCCUUUCCAGUUUCCAUACUGUACUACGUAUAGAUUUUAUGGCAGAGAAGCUCAUCUUCAGUGCUUUCAAAAGUUUCAUGUUCCUAUCCAAACCAGGCAACUCUUCUAUGUCCAUGUUCGAGAUCCACCUCAGCAAGUGAUUCCAAAUUCCACAUUGAGUCCAGUAGCAUCUUUAUCGAUUUGCAGUUUCUCAAAGACUGGUGUCCAAAGCUUACAAGGGAUCCAGUUGAGUUGGGAAGCUCCACGAUCCCCAGCUCCUUUCAGAGCAAGCCUUGAUAGGGAAGUUAGGUGACUGAUUGAAGGUUUCAUAGUGAGUGAGGAACGAUGGCAAGCGCUGAGAAUUUGUACUCUUCAAUCCUUGGCAUUCAGGCACAUGCUUUAUUGAUGUCCCAUCAUAUAGUUCUCUCAAACAUUACAUUUUAUAAGGCUCCUUUGGGAGGUGGCGGAGAGUCUUGCAGAAAUUCGAAUUAUAUAAAACUAAGUGCUGUAUCUUACUGAUAGACCUAUCAAUCUGGACGAAGAUUUUGCAUUUCUUGGAUCAAUCUUUCUAAAUUCACAUGUACCUGAAAUAUAGCAUCUAACGGCACCAUUUUCACAUCGAAAGAUCCACCUGAUCUAACUGAAUUGAAGACAUACAGCAAGCCCUUUUAAGGCAGAAGUUCAUAUCCACUUUCCAUCCCAUCCUGAUGUUUACCCGUUAAAACCAGCACGCGAAUCAAACAAAGUUAACGUCCAGCAAAGUAGUCAACACAACUUUUCCAAAAUCAUGCACCGCAUACUAAUUAGUCUGAAGUUCACACCAGCAGCUCCUCCGUGAGGUACUCACCGAGAUACCCAGUGGUAAAUUCAUUUGCUACUAAAUAUACGUGAUGGACCUUUUUUAGCUUUCUUCCGCUUGUUUCAUCCUUUUAUUCAAUCAUUUCACCAUUGACGUUGAUCCAUGGUUUAUAGCAGCAUCAUUAUUCGGACUGCCCUCUCCAGUGAUCUUACCGCUCACAGUAUUCUCUCGAAGAAAUCUUGGAACAGAACAGUAGAAACAACAAUUGUAGCAACUGUCACCACACGGGGCAACCUCAAGUGGUCAAUCGUUUUGCACUAGUACAAGUGGUCAACCUCAGUAGAAACAACAAUCGUCGAGCUGCUGCUGCUCCUCCUCAAAGCCAUCAGACAGGGCCUCGUCGGAUGAUGGCUGCUGCUUGAGGGUUUCGCCAUAGCGUCGCUAAGAACCCAUUUCGACGGAUUGAUCAAUCCAUCGAUUGAGGUCGUCACUGCUUUCUCUAGAGAAUCAGAAAGUGCACAUUCUUGAUGUUAUCACUAUACCUCGAAAUGUUAAGUUUGAGUUGUUGCUGCUCAGUCCAUCCGUACAUAAAUUAGUCUAUUAUUGUAGUUAGCAUGUUAGAAGCCUGAAAGUCUUUCCAAACGAGGAUUGUAGAUGCCAGACUGAUGGGUUCUUUGUCAGUAGGGGGCCUUCUUUAGGUUGAGUUUGAUGUCUAGAUAUGGGGCGGCGGGUGGAGAAUUUGAUGAUUGAUGAGGAAGUCUGAAUAACUUAUUGGAGGGAUGUGUACGUGGUGGAGCAGUCGAGUUGAAGCGGAGGGAUGAUUAUGCUGUCGGGAUUGUGCUUGUUGAUUG